UUUGUCUCCCUUCCUAGACAUAGUUUAAGACCUUAUUAUGGAUCAAGAAAACAGAAAGAAACGAACCCGGGAUGAGUUGGGCGUCUCGAGUUCCGAAUCUCCCGAGGUUAAACUAGCUCGGGUUGACUCGGAGGCUAACUCGCCCCUUCUGGAACCUGACCGAGAUGAACUGGUUGAGGUACGUGAAGAUUUGCUCAGCAUCUUUGAUGAUUCGGAUGAGCCAGUCGUUCAGGGGCUGGAAUCGGUUAUAAAAAGUUUUGAAGAGGAGAUUCACGUAGGGGUUCCGGUGCCGGAUAUGUCGUCAGAUUCUGGUGGUUCCCAAACGGACCUUGGUUACCUCCUAGAGGCCUCGGAUGACGAGCUUGGCUUGCCGCCGACGUUUGCUGUUGGCGAGGAGAAAGACACCGCCGCUGUCGCCGUUUUGCCAGCGGAGGAGGAGGGACCUGGAGCUGUUGGUUUUGUUGAGAUGCUACGGUUUGAGGAUGAGAUACCGAGUUAUGACUCAUUUGAGUUUGGGCUCGUUGGUAACACGGAAGGAAAUCAUAAUUAUUGUGAUAAUAACGGAGAUUUUGUGGCGUUAGGUGGGUUGUUUGAUUAUUCGGACGAGAACUCGGUACCGGCCGAUAUUUCGGGAUUGCUGUGGCAGCCCGAGUUAUCGGCUUUGUGAAAAUAUCUAAAAAGAAUGGAGAAUAAAACGUUUCGGGCAACCCGGAGUUUGUAGGGUAACCGUACGUUUCAGUAGGAAAGAAGUGUGUUCAUAUUAUGAUGAUGUUUAGGCUGUAAAUUUUGGAAAGAAAGAAGUAAUCAAGGAAGAAAAAUAGGCGUUGAUUAUGAAUUAUUUUUUUGAGAUUUUUUGUAUUUUUAAUAUUAAAGUAUUAAAAAAUAUUAAUUUAAACUAAAACCGAUUGAUUGGAUCGCAAAUUUUUAUGGCUGCUCGUAACCUAUGGUUUCAAACGUCACCUAAUAACAUUAGCGCCUCGAAAAGAGGGAUGCGAAAAACAAUGGCUGCUCGAAUCAAUGGACCAACAAAUUGAACCGUUGAACUAUAGUUCUUUUAAGAUGCGAAAUAGUAUUGUAUUACCAAACCAAGAACCGACUUGUUGCUUAUAACGAGCCAGGAACACAUAGAAGCUUAAAUCAAGAGUAAGAGAAAUCCUCCCUAAUGUUUUAUUUAUGAAAUCAAUGGUUUUUUUUAACUUACAAACUAAAGAAAAAAUUUAUAGUUCAACAAAAUAAAUCUUACUGGAAUACUACAAUCAAAUUAAAACCCAAAUAUAAAUUAGUUUAAAAAUAUUUUUAAAAUAAAAUAAUAAAGUUCAAGUGUUAAUAAAUAAAGUUCAAUUUACAUAGUAAAUUCUAGGCCAUAUCAGAAGGCUUUUUCAAAGUUUGAUCGUUAUGAAAUUUUAACCAUGUAAGAAACAGAACCUUUAAAAUCUUUUGGAAAAAUUUCUGUAUGAUCCAAUUGUUGCGAUGUCGCGGUCGCACAAAUUAAUUACCCUAGCUUAAAACACACAAGAUAGUAUAGAGCAAGCAAGGGGUCGAUCCCACGAGGAAGGUUUAGUUCAGAUUUUUAUGCUAUACGUUAUGUAAUUGGGGGGGUUUGAUUUGCAAUGAUCUUAAACUAUGGUAGAAAUUAAACUAACAAACAAAAUCAAUUAAAACUGAAAUAUAUCAAGAAAACAAACCUUGGUUGCAAGCACACAUCCACCUACAGAAAUCAGAACCGAUCCUUGAAACGAAACUUCAGCUUAUAUUCUGAAUUUUUUAUCUUUUCUUAACAUUGGUUAAUUAACGGAUCCGCCGUAUAACUAACCCUAACCAACAAAUAAUCACAGUGUCCGCACUAAUGAUUUAAUCCAAUGGCAGCCUUAAGAUCUAGAUAAAUUCAUUAAUCUUAACAACCAAGUUGUCAGCUUGUGUUGCUUUGAUCGAAUGUUCUCCCUAAGUUUAAUAACGUAGUUCCGCUACAAUUACCAAGCUUAGUUGCUUCACAAGUUUAUAUAUCACAACUCCGGUUUUGAUAUCAAACUUAGCAAUAGAUUGUUCACAAUAAUAACUUAGAGUCCGCUCUAGCAAUUAAGAUAAACAAUCAUAGGAAAUAUGCAUAGGAAAACAAACAUACUCAUUCAUAAUACAAACUAAAAAUAAAUGGAAGAAUAAAUCUCACAGUUCUUGAAAUCUGAAGGUGUUUGCGUCCUUGCAACCAAGAAAACGAGCUUAGCCUUGCAUAUCUAUUGAACAACUACUCCUAAAGAUGAAAGAAUACAUGAUUUCUGAUUUGUAGAAGGGAGAAUUUGUGUUUCUUCUCUUAUGGCUGCCACCCUUCUUUCUUUGAUUCUACUGCACUCCCUCUCCCUCUCUCUUGGCUCUUGGCUCUCUUAAUAUCAUGAACUUAGCUGCCUAUUUAUACACAAAUUGUAAGUAAGAAAAUUCAAAGUUCAAGUGUGAACAUCAAGAGAUGGUGGUAGUGUGAAGGCGGCUGGCGGCUGGUGGCUGGCAGCUGGUUUGUGGUUGGUGGUUUGAGGUUGGUGGCUUGAGGUUGGUGGCUGCCUUCCUUGACCUUCUGGAUUGAUUUACUUGAGGAGCUAAAUUGCUGAAAUUAAAACUUGGAUGCCGGUUUUGAUGCUUCGGGAUGUAAUUUGGAUUCGUUUAUUCACGAAACCUGUUUGCUGGCAGAAUUCAGUUGUCAUCUUUGCAAAAUAAUAUCUCCCUCAUAUGACAUCGUUUGUGGCUGACAUUUUGAGCGUUUGUAGGCAUUUGAGUCAGGAAUCCAAAACAAUUGAGUUUGCAUCAAUUGGAUAUCUACAGCUCCAGAUAUUGAAUUUUGAAUGGACAAAGGUCAACACUGGCAGAAUGCGAGUUUUGACUUUGAAGGAUGUGAUUUCCAUGAUCUUUGUAUUUUUAUUUUUCUUGACUUAUAUUUCCAGAAAGGUAUGGAUGUUAUCUUUCUAAUGCCACUGGAAUCACUUCAUUUCGACUUCUAGAACUCACGCUCUGCACAAAACAUCGACUGAGGGUCAAAUCUGCCAAUUACCUCCAAUUUACUCCUUUUUUGCAUCUUUCAUCUAAAGGUGCCUUCAAAACAUAAAACAAAGAAUAUCAAGGCAUUUUAUACAUAAAACAAUAACCAUGUAAGAAACAGAACCUUUAAAAUCUUCUGGAAAAAUUUCUGUAUGAUCCAAUGAUUGGAUUUAAAGUUAUGACCAUUAACAUAAAUUUGUGUAACCAAGCUCUAGUACAUGUUAAUCGGCCCUAUAUUUGCUUGGAUUACAUUGAUCAAGGCUUGAUCCUCCUUUGAACUCAACUUCAUGCUUGAAGCCACCUUAGAAAGAAUUCUCAAAGCUUUCUCGGUCCAGCUAUCAUGAAUCAACCCAUUGAAUGCCUCUUUGAUCCUCUUGUCUCUUUCCAUUGUAAUUGAUCCAUACAUUGGAUCCUAUGAAGUUGCUUGUUGAUUCUUAUCAUUCUCCUUAUACUUAAAAGAAUUUGACCCCGAAACCUACAUCAAAAGGACAUAUUAGAAAAAUUGAAUACAACACUAACAUUAUACAUACUUGAAAGUUCAAACUUAUAUACAUUGUUAUUAAUCUAUUCAGGACUACCAAAAUUCUAGCAGUCUCCCUCAUAUUGGGGGAUCCCAAAUUAUCAACCUGUUUCACUUGUAUUCACAUUCUUAAUUUCCAAUCCAAUCAUCUUGGAUCUCAGUCAUAUCAAUUGUACUCAUCACAUUACAUUAAUUCAUAUGAUAUUACAUAGUAGCAAUUAUGAAAGUUUUAAAAGAAAAUAAAAACCAUCAUAUAUAUAUGAUUUUAUAGGAAUACAAAUGUAAAGAGGAACAAUUAUAUUCGUGUAUCAAUAAUCCAAAGUUCAACGAAUACAUACAAUCCCAAAAUAUGCAUAACAUACUUAGUUUAUAUUAACAAAAGUGAGAUAAGGUAAGAUUACACUUGGUGCGAGUGAGAAGGUCCUAAAAAGUACAACAUUCACAUAUAAUCAUUUAAAUAACUAAUAAUAACUAAUACACUGAAAAGUAUUACUAAAUCUUUGUCUAUCCUUUGUUUCAACUCGAAGAUAAAACAUUUCUUAUCAUACAUUCAUUCUUUUUUAUUUAUUUAACUUUCUAAAUUAACAUCAUCAUACUAUUAGAUAUCCAUAACCUGGAUAAUUUUCUUAAUGCCGAUAUCAAUUUCAAAUUGAUAUCAUUAACCAUUGCUUAAUAAACGGUUAAUCAACGAAAUGCCAACAUCAACUCACUGACAUCAUUAGCUACUGUUUCCCUAGUUAACUAAUCAUAAACUUUAAGGAACAUACUGAUGCCAAGAUAUCCACCUUGACAUCAUUAGCUUUCCCUAUUGUUCAGGAAAGCUAAUCAAAUUAAUUUUUCUUUUAUUUCCUGUCCUUUGGGUGGUUAUGCCGAUGCUAAUGAAUCUCAUUAACAUCAUUAGUCUCCCUUAUCGAGACCGACUAAUCAAAUUCGAGUAAAUGCCGAUAUUAAUAUAACCUAGUAAUAUCAUUAGCUUUCUGAAUCUUGGAAUAGCUAAUCAAGUCCUUUAUGAAUACUUUCACUUAACAUUUGGUAAUGUAGAUGUCAAAGAACCCCUCGAUAUCAUUAGCCUCCAUAUCAAGAGUAGCUAAUUAAGUUUUUCCAUCCAUUUCCUUUCUUUCCCCACUUAUUUAAUGAUUUUCCAUACUAAUACAAGAAACAAAAAGAAGUAAAUCUAACAAUUAUAUUGGUGUAAAAACUACAAAAUAUAGGGGUUAAGCACCUACUUGAGGUGUGUGAUGUCCCAACAACAGCUCUGCCCUAUGGUCUAGCUGCUGAAGAAUCCCUUGUCAAAAACAAGAUUAAUUCAUUAGCAUAAAUUCUGGAACCAUAACUUGAUUCUUUAUGACAAUUUCCAUAUCUAAAAUCUUCAUCAUUUUUUCCAAUUAAAAUUCUCUAAAACAUAUAAUUACAUAAUCUCUCAAAUUUCUUCAUUUAGCCAACCCUAAGGGCCAUACUUUUUUUUUUUUGCCUCAUUCAUUUAUUUCGACUUCACUAUGCCACAUUUUUAUUAACCUUAAUUACACCCAAUAUAAUUGAAACACAAUUUAAGCCUUAUCUAAUCACAAUUUAUGUUAAAGUUUUACUCCUAUUUACUUACAAUUUUCACAACGCCUUGAUAUAUUCAUGAAUUUCAUUUUAAAUUAUUAUAUCUAUCUCAAUUCUCAUUAAACACACCAUUUCUACCAGUACAAAUCAUUUACCCAAAUUCCCUAAAAUCCCCCCUUUUUGGCCGGCCCCAAAACCAUGGAAAAACACAUGGUUCUUUCAAAAUUUAGCAAAAAUCAACACUUAUCCAAUGUUUUCCAUGAUCAAAAUUAUCAUUCCAAACAAAGAAUACCAUCAUAAACAAUUUCUCUUAGAAAACCCUAACUUCCCUAAUGCAAUCAUAAUUAAUGAAUUCCAUAUCUUAUAAAAAAGGCAAAGCUUCACAUAGUAAAAGGAAUCAUUACCUACUAAGCACAAGAAACAAGGCAAAAAUUGCACUAAAACCCAAGCUUUUAACACUUUUUUCUUCACUCAUUUUCCUUUCUUUUGCUACCACUUUACCCAUCAAAAUCACUCCCUCCCACUUGAUUUUCCUUCACAACUUGAUGUUUUAGGUGUUGAUUCUUCCAACUUUCAAGAUUUUCUUUCACUUUCUUUGUUUUCCUUAGGUUUUCUAAAGAUUUUUAGCAUGUUUUUCUUUUCUCUACUAUUUUCUUCAAAUAGCCAGCCACACACAGACACAUAUAGAAAACAAUUUAUGAAAUUCCUAUUAUGUCUCUGUUGUGAUGUCGCGGUCGCACAAAUUAAUUACCCUAACUUAAAACACAAUACACAAGAUAGUAUAGAGCAAGUAAGGGGUCGAUCCCAUGAGAAAGGUCUAGUUUAGAUUUUUAUGUUAUAUGAUAUGCAAUUUGGGGAGGGGUUGGAAGUUAUCUAGGGUAAAGCAAAAGAAAACAGAAAAUUAUCAAGCGAAAUUAAAUAAAAUCAGAAAAUUAUCAAGAAAACAAACUUUGGUCGUAAGUAAACAUCCACCUACGGAAAUCAAAACUGAUCAUAGAAAUGAGACGUCAAUUUAUACUCUGAAUAUCUAUCUUUUCUUAUGUUAAUUAGUUAACAAAUCCGCUGUAUAACUAAUCCUGACCACCAAACAACCACAGUGUCCGCACUAGUAAUUUAAUUUAAUGGCAGCCUUAAGAAUUAGAUGAGUUGAUUAAUCUAGACAACAUAACUGUUCGCAAUCCAUGUUUGAUUUGAUCAAUCAAAUGCUCUCCCUAAGAUUACUAAUCUGGAUCCGCCACAAUUAUUAAUCUUAGUUGCUUCACAAGUUUAUAUACCACAACUCUGGUUUUGAUAACAAACUUAGCAUUAGAUUGUUCACAAUAAUAACUUAGAGUCCGCUCUAGCAAUUAAAAUAAAAAAUCAUAGGAAAUAAGCAUAAGAGAACAAACAUAUUCAUUCAUCAUAUAAACUAAAAAGAAAAGGUAGAAUAAAUCUUACAAUUCUUGAAAUCUGAAGGUUUUUGUAUCGCUGCAACCAAGAAAAAGAGUUUACUCUUGCAUGUUUAUUGAACAACUAAUCAAAAAGAAAGAAGAAAACAUGAUUUUAGGUUUAUGAAGGAGAAGGGGUGUCCUCCCUUAUCCUCUCUCAUUCUUUUUAUAUCCUAGGAAACCCUAGUCUCUAUUUUACUAAAUAGUCCUCCCUUAAGUAGACAGUUUAGAUUUAAGUACUUCAAUAACUAUUUUCCUAAAAAAGGAGAAAUAGUUUUGCAUGAAAUCUUCAAGCUUUGACUUAGAGGAGCUAAAUUGCUGAAAUAAAAACUUGGAUGUUGGUUUGGAUGCUUCGGGAUGUAAUUUGGACUCGUUUUUUUCACAAAACCUGUUUCCUGGCAGAAUUCAUAUGUCAUCUUAGAAAAAUCAUAUCUCCCUCAUACAAAAAUUUUUUCGGCUAAACUUUGGUAUGUGGAUAGGUAUUUGAGUCAGGAAUCCAAAAAAAUUGAGUUUGGAUCAAAUGGAGUUUUGUAGCUCCAGAUAUUCAAGUUGAAAUGGCCAAAGGUCAACACUGACAGAUUGCAAAAUUUGACUUUAAAGGCUGCAAUUUCCAUGAUUUUCCUUAUUUUAUUUUCUUUCCUUAUAUUUUCAGAAAGGUACGGAUGUUAGCUUUUUAAUGCUAUUGCAAUCACUUCAUUUCGACCUCUAUAGCUUACGCUAUGCACAAAACAUCGAAUGAAGGUCAAAUCUGUCAAUUACCUUCAAUUUACUCCUUUUUGCAUCUUUCAUCCAAAAAUGUCUUCAAAACAUAAAAUAAAGAAUAUCAAGGCAUUUUAUAUAUAAAAUAUAGGCAAAACACUAGUUAAAUAUGGAUGAAGCUAUCGAAUAAUAUGGUUGCAUCAGUCUCUCCUUUGUAACCUUUUGUUUUUUCGAUUAAAUUUUUCCCAGCUUUCGAUAGCUAUUACUAUCAAUUUUAAGUUGGGAUAUUUAGAAUUUCAUUAAAUGAUAUUCUAGUACCUUUCUUUCCUCUUACAUCACUUCCAUUUAUUUUUUAUUUGCAAUUUUGUAUAUUUUAUUUUUUGACCAUUUUCAUAUUUUUAUUUUUUUAAAAAAUUACACAUACAACUUUUAUUUCCAAAUUCCAUUAAUCCAUUAUCAUUCUCAUGUGUGGAUAUUCAAUUUACGUACUUAACAUAAUAUUUACUUCUUUGUCGUUAUGAUUUUUUUUAUCCAAGGGUUUUACAAGAAAAGACUCAUUUAUAAUUAUCAUGGCUUUGGUAGCUCUUUAUGAUUUAGAGUUAAAUCAAAUGAGUGUAAAAUUAUCUUUUUAUAUAAGAAUUUUAUAGAAGUUUAUAUGGAUCAGCCAAAGGGGUUUUCGCUCAAAGGUGUAAACACCCAACAAAAAAAAGUAAAAGCCAGAAACAACUCCAUCGUCGCUGCUAAUUUCUGAAUCAACAACGAUACAGUUUUCGUUGAUGAUUUCUGAGUUGACAAUGAUUUAGUUUUCGUUGACGAUUUCUGAGUUAACAGGGGCUAAGUACGUCGACAAAUCCAUGUGUCAGCUGUGGAAGCAGUUUCAUUGAUGAUUUCUGAGUCGGCAGCGACUCAGUUUUCGUUGAUGAUUUCUGAGUCAAUAGGGGUUGUGUGCGCUGACGAAUCCAUGCGUCAGCUAUGAAAGUAGUUUUGUUGAUGAUUUCUGAGUCGGCAGCGACUCAGUUUUCGUUGAUGAUUUUCUGAGCCAACAAUGGCUGCGUGCGCUGACGAAUCCAUGUGUUUUGUAAAACCCGAUAAAAAACUUAGUCCUUGGCCGUGUCAAACCUAACAAAUUUUAUCUUUGGUCGACCUAUAUUAGGAAAAAAAUUAAGAGGUAUAGACCGACCAACUUUGGAGGAAAACCUAGAGGAGAAGUGUAAGACCCGAUUAAAAAUCCAAAUAAAGGACUGACUUAUGCUAAGUAAAAAUUUUUAGGAUCAAACCAACCUACCUUAAAGGAGAGAUUAGAGUAGGAAAAACCGAUUCUGAGAUUAUCUUAAAGAGGAACAAGGACAUGAUGGAACAACCCCCAAACACCCCAACACACUUAUAGGGGGAUAUAAUACAGGGUGAGAAAAGAGGUGACUCUUCCUCUUCCACAGAAAUAGCCACAACCAUUGCUGCAAUUGAACCUCUCUCUCCCCAAGAAAAACUGACCAGACCAUCUGCAAGCAAGCUCUAUUGAGUGAAGAGUGAGGAGAGAGUUGAGAAAAAAAGAAGAAACCGAAGCUAUAGAAGAAGGAAGAGAGUAGGAAGGGUUGGUUGCUGUAGUAGAGAAGGAAGAGAAGAAAACUGAAAGGAAGAAGAAGAACAACCAACAAAACCUACAGUAAGAAUGUCCAGAAACAUAAGGUCAGAUAAACACCAUUUCCUUGGCUGGGUAUUACCCCAAAUGUCGAACAAAAAAGGAAGAGAAAGAACUCAAGAAUGAGGGUUUAGGACCCUUACAUUUUAACUCAAGAUUUGAUAAACUAGGAGUGACGAACCUAAAUGGAAUGAUGGAUAAAUAAGAACGUGUGCAGAUUCUUACAAAAAGAAAUUAAUGAAUAUGUUUGAUUUGAAUGUGUAAACCUAAGUUUGGGGCCGACCAAAUGAUGAGAUGAUUAAAUGGUGUAAAGAAAUGAGGGAAUGCAUGAAGAAUGGCUUGUUGGGCUCCUAAAAAACAUGCUGGAACAAGAAAACAAAAUUGCAUGACUAUGUUAAUGCCUAGAAUGUUACAUAUAUAAUUGAAAGAAACUAUGUGUAAAGGUGAUAAAAUGAGUAUAUGUGCAGAAUUGUGUGUUGUUAAGCCUUAUAGGACAUGCAAAAGAUAAAACAUAACUUAAAUUAAUGUUUAUGUCUUAACUCUCACAAAUGAUUGAUGAAUUUGUAUGGGAUAUGAAAUGGAAUGAUGAAAAUGCUUGGAAUGUGAUUUUGCUGGAUUCCUAGGAACAUUUUGUAUGCUGGAACUGAGAUUUAUGUUGAUGUUCAUGCUUGAAUUUUGUUGUCGGAUUGAUGAGUUUACAUGAAAAUGGUUCAAGUGAAUGAAGAUAUGAAUUUAUGGCUUAUUGUUGUGAUUAUACUUGUGAUAGAUUGAAUGUGGUUGGAUAUGGUCUAUGUUCAAUUCGGUUUGGGAGUUUUAUAAGAUAAGGGGAAAACCUAGCAUAAACCUUACACUUAAAUGAUGGAGAGAUUAAGACAUAAAUGAGUUGACUGUCGUUGCCAAUUUCUGAAUCGGCGGCGACUUGGAUUGUGUCAAUGAUUUCUGAGUCGACAAUGACUUAGUUUUCAUCAAUGAUUUUUGCGCUACCAGUAGGACGUGUACGCUGAUGAUUUCAGUGUCAGUCGUAUAACUGGGUUACGUUGAUGAAUUCUGGGUCGACAUUGUCUAUAGACAGUAGGACUUGUGCGCUGAUGAUUUCAGCGUCAACUGUAAAAAUAGGUUGCGUUGACGAAUUCUUGGUCGACAACGACUCAGUUUUCAUCAACGGUUUCUAAGUUAGUAGAGAGGCCUAUGUGCGCUGAUGAUUUCAGCGUCAUCCGUAGAACUAGGUUGUGUUAAUGAAUUCUCAAUCGGCAACGACUCAAUUUUCGUCAAUGGUUUCUGAGUUAACAGUAGGCUAAGUACAUUGAUGAUUUCAUGUGUCAGCCAUGUGAUGGGAAUUGCGUUGCCAAAUUCUAUGUAACCAGCAAACCAGUUUUCACUAUCGAAUACUGUGUCAUCAAGGAAUUAGUUUUUACUAUCGAAUUCUGUGUAAUCAGCGAAAUAGUUUUUGCUGACGAAUUAUAUGUCACCAACGAAACAAAUUUUGCUGCCGAAUUUCGUAUCACCAGCGAACCUGUUUUUGCUGACAAAUUGUGUGUCACCAGCGAAAUAGUUUUCACUGCCAAAUUCUGUAUCAUCAGCGAACCAGUUUUCGCUAACGAAUUGUAUGUUACCAACGAAUCCAUUUUCACUGUUGAAUUCUAUGUCACAAGCGAAUCAGUUUUCGCUGCUGAAUUCUGUAUCACCAACGAACCAAUUUUCGCUGACAAAUUGCAUGUCAUUAGCGAAUUAGUUUUCGUUGCCUAAUUAUGUAUCACCAGCGAAGUAGUUUUCACUGAUGAAUUGUAUGUCACCAGCGAAUCCAUUUUCAUUGUUGAAUUCUAUGUCACCAUUGAAUCAGUUUUCGCUGCCAAAUUCUGCAUCACCAGCGAACUAGUUUUCACUGAUGAAUUGUAUGUCACCAGCGAGUCAAUUUUUGCUGACGAAUCCUAUGUCACUAGCGAGAAGCUGAGAGAUGGGCUUCAAGAGGAAUUAACGCAAAGGCUGAUUGCUUUAUAGUUCAAGUUAGUGAGAGAAUUGAUUGAGGCGGCACAAGCUCUAGAAGCUUGCAUUGGAGAAGGUCAAUAAGAGCAUCACGAAGCAGGUAAAAAGGGAGACGAGGAUGAUAUUACUAGCAGGCUACCGCUCCUAAAGAAGGGAAAAAGUGGAAUGUUUGAGGCAUCAGGGAAGAAUGGAACCGUAGUGGUAUCGUUCUACCAAUAGUUGAGUGGAAGAGUGAUGGGUGGACAGACUCACCCAAUAGCAAACCCUGCAGCGGGACUGGUGACUAAAAGAACGUGAACUACCUUUCUCUCCCCAAGAAAAACUGACCAGACCACCUGCAUGCAAGCUCUCUUGAGUGAAGAGUGAGGAGAGAGUUGAUAAAAAGAAGAGGAAACCGAAGCCAUGAAAAAAAGAGGAGAGUAGGAAGGGCCGGCUGCUGCAGUAGAGAAGGAAGAGAAGAAAACUGGAAGGAAAAAGAAGAACAACCAACAAAACCUACACUAAGAUGGACUCAAAAUAAUUUUGUAAGUGUGCAAUGUACCUGUCACACCACAAAUCAUAUUUGAGCCUUGUUUCUGCAAGACUCUAUAGGUGGCUCCAACCCUUUUUAAGGGUGUAGCACUUUAUUUCCAUACUAGGUUAGGAUUCGCUCUAAAUACAAUUUGUAUUGCUUCAAGCCCAAGGAGUAUGUGCACCACUAUACAACUUCUGGACCUAUAAGUGCAUCAUUGAGUUGUGAUUUAUUUUCCUCACUACCCAAAAAGAAUUCCUUGUUGAUCAUAAAUUUAUUAGUCAUUCCUUUUACUCAUCAUAUUAUAUGACUAAAAAAAACUCAAAAUAAUUUUUUAAUUAUCAAAGUUUUAUAUUCAAUCUAAAUAAACAUGACCUCGUAUCAUACAAUUACUCAACAUCUUUUUUCCAUUCAAAAUCAUUUAAAUAAUGUUAAAUAAUAAAGGAGUGAGUGCCACACACCCAACAAGUAAUAUUUCAUCUCCUUAGCUGGACUAAGCAUACAAAAACAUAAAUAUACAUAUUGGUCAUAAAUCGUUUUUUUAUUUAAAGUAAUUGUUCUUUCAAAAUUUCAAGUGUUCUGCAAUGUUCACUAAUCAUUCUCAAACUUUCAACAAUUCAAAUCAUUCGAUUUGAAUAUAAACAUGGAUUGAAAAUUUAUAUUCAAAGUUAAAUUUAAAGUUAAACUACUAUAGCUACUCUAACCAUAAUAGCAAUGAGUCAAAUUUAAUCUUGAGAUUAGAUAUUAAAUUCUAAAUAGACAUGUUUACUAUAAUCAAUAUAUAACUCUAAAAAUAGGGUUCAAAGCAUAGUCAAUUAUAUUCAUAUUUAAAUCAAUUCACGAGUAAGCUUAUAAAAAUAAAACACAUUCCAAAAUCAUAUUCAUAACAGAUUCAUAAAUCAUUUUUGAAAUUAUAUUUUAAAUAUAUUCAACGCAUAUUAAUGAGAUAUAUUCAAAAUCAUAUCCAAUACAUUCAUAUUCUUUGCAAAUAUUUUAUCAUGCUUAAUCCUCCAAAUUUAUAAAUAAAAAAGAUUUUAAAAAGAAAAUCCAUUUGAUACGUAUACAAUUUUCUAAUAGAAAAUUAACUAAUCAAAGAGAUGACAUAUUUUUUUUUACCAAAAAUCAAAAUCCAAAAGAUUCUCAAAGUAAAAGAACUCAUAACAUCUUAACAAUAAAUAUAUAAUAAAUAAUAAGUUCACUUAAUUGGCUUGUGACACGACCAAAAGAUUGAUGUCUUCUCCCAAGUGCACAUUAAUUUAUGCGAUACCAAAACACUUUUAAAAAAGUCACUUAACACUUAAUAUAUCACAACCCCUUAAUAUCUUAUAAAAUAUUAACUUUCAACAUUAUAGGCAUUAAUAAUAAUUUCAGCCCCUUCAUUGGAAUCACAUUUUAUGAUCUAAUAUUUUGCAUGCUUGAUUUAUCUAUAACUUGUAACUUCGUGUGUUUAAUUAUUGUUAUGUCAGACUAGGUGGCUAGGUAAGGGAUCUGAGACAAGUUUAGUUCUAAUAACAAAGUAUUUUUCAUGAUUUGUUUUUAUUAUUGUAGUUGUUGUUAUCUUGGUUUGAACAUGUUUAUUUUUAUAAUAUGUUUAUUUCUAUUUUAAUAAUUUUUAUUUUAUUUUCUUUGUGAUACUAAUUUUUUUUCUUUUACAAAUCGAACUAUAAAAUUGAUAUUAGACUUAAGGUACACUUUCGUUAUUUAGGUUGGAUGGUAGGUUGUUACAGGCGAAAGUCUUGUCUUUAUUUUACUAUAUUCCUUGUAAUUAGAUUUGAACUUGUAUUUAUUUUGAUGUGUAGCCAGGUUGAUGUGGGCUUUAGGUCCAAAUUCAAAUUUAUUUUAGGCCUUAAGCCUUGACUUCUUUCUUUUAGAUUGGGCUAAUGGCUGAAUGUUAAUCUAGGUGAGAGAUUGAUCAUUCUUUCAAUCUCCAAAUCACCUCAACAAUGAUUGGUUAAAAAAGGCUUGAUAAUAAACUCAGAAAUCAAGAUACAAAGACAUAAAAUGGACUUGCAUAAGAAAUUCUUUUAGGUUGGAAAUGAGUGCUUACCUCUUUAAAAAGAUACAUAGGGUGAUUGUGAUCUUUGUUAGCUGUGUAAAAUAUUUUAGCCCAAAACUCUUAAGUUUUCCUUAUUUUCACAUUUAAAAAAAAUAAAAGAUGACUCUUAGCCUUCUCAUUAUGAUCAUUCAAAUGUCAAAUGCAACAGCAUGACGACUCUAGAAAAAAAUAGAGAUUAUUGAAAAUAAUAUCAUUAGUUAGAAUGAUAAAGUUAAGGUAGAAUGCUACAAGUUUCUGAUGAUUGUUUAAAUGGUCCUUAGUCUUUUACAUCUUAAAUAUAUAUUAUCUUUUUUUCAAGACCUCAAAAACUCAUACAUGUUACAUGCUUCUAAAAUUUUUCUUUAAUAGAAAAAAAAAAACAAAAACAAAAUGUUUAGGAUGAUGAGUUUCAUCCUCAAAGAGAAGAAUAAAAUAUUUUAAAAUAAAAUACUUAUUUGUAUGUAGCAUAUCAUUAUUUAUAGUGUCAAAUUAUAAGUGUUUUUGGACAAAAAAGAAAAGAAAAGAAAGACAAUGCAAGACCAUCCUUUUUAAGUUAAAAACCAAAAUUUGAGUUUCAUUCAAUGAAAAAUAGCCUUAUAUUUUGCAAAAAUCAAUUCGAGCCAUUAUCACGGGGGUGACGUCGGGCUGUCGAGCUAUUGUGCCUCCUAAGAGGUAUUGUUAUUGGAAAGAAAAAAGCUUUGGAUUUAAUCAUUAAAUUAAGAUUAAGGUUCAGGAGUCGCCACCUAGUAUUAUGGUUACUAGAAAUCUAUGGUCUGCAAGAAUCUGGGUAAGGGACUGGUUGUGCAAGGGAAAAACACAUCACUCCCAGUCCACCCUACCUAAGGUAAGCUACGCUGUUGGUUGACUGUUUUUCUAGGUUGGGUUUCUAUUCAUUGGUUUUUUUCUAAGGUCUAAGGCAGAUCUCCCUUCAUAAGAGAGUCUCUACCUCAUCGGGUUUAAUCCUAACUAUUCUAAAGUCUAAAUUUUAGCAUCACAUUUAUUUUACACUUUGUAUCUUUAAUAUCUAAGGGUGUACUCUGUUGUGUAGUUUUACACCUCACAAAUAUUAAAGUCGACAUCAAAACCAAAAAAAAAAAAUGAUUGAUAAAAGGUUUUUAAUAUUUUGGCCAAAUCCUAAUAAAUAAUUAUAAACUGGUUAAAAUAUCUAUUUUUUUGUUUUUUUUUAAAACAUGAGAAAGAUGUAAUUUUUUUUUUAUGAAAACAUGCUUGAAUUUUUUUUUAAAGAUUUGACCGUAUGCAUGAAAACAAAACAUUUUUUGUUUUUUUUAAAGGGAAAUUAAUUUAAAAGUUUUGAGAUUUUUUUUGAAUUUUCUUGAAAGGUUUUAGAAAUAUUUCGGAGAAAAUCAGGUAUUUUAAUACCAAAUUUGUAUCUUACAUUGUAAAAAUACAACCCAAUAUUAAGCAAAAUUGAUAAAAAAAACAUGCAAGAAAAUCACAAAUUUUUUUGUAAGGAUUUUUUUUAUUUUUUAUAAUAUUAUAAUAUAUAUUAUUAUAUUAUUAUUAUUAAAUAUAUGGGUUGGGCCAAGCCUAGCUAUAUGGCUCGAGCCCAUCUGGUUGGGUUGAGAUCGGCCCAAAAGGGGUUGGGCCGCAAUCUGCCCAACAGAUAUGACUUUUUUUAAGAAAGGGGUCUGGGUCGGACCCGGCCUAGCCAUUACGGGUUAGGCCAAGAUGGUCCAGCCCAAGACCAUUAAAAUGGCAUUUUGCCAUUUGCAUGCGAAAGGAAUUCUGCAUGCAAAUGGCUGCCAAGAGGGUUUUGAGGUAAAAAAAAAAAGGGAGAGCAACCUUGCUUGGUUGGAGGUGGAGGGUUAUUAAAGGUGUUCUUGGUGGUGCAGGGAAGAUCGUGCAUGGUGGAUAGAGGUGGUGAUGUCGGCGAAGGUGGAUAAAAAGAGGGGGCAAGUAUGGCAGGUGUAAGAGAAGAAAAAAUCUAGGGAAAAAAAUGGUUUUUUGCCAACUUUGUACACUGAUUUCUUUACGCUCAGGCCCUUAAAUCCACUCCUAUUUAUAGGGGGUGGAAGAGGGCAAUCUUGUCUUUACUGGGAAAACUUUCGGCCCUUGAUUCGGCUGGAAAUGAUCUCAAUCGUUGGUUCAAAGUAGGCACCAUGAACAGUCAAAUUUGAUAAUUAAAGGCUGUCUGAGCUAACCUCUUUAAGUUGGCACCACGAUCGUUGUGGUGUCAAUUGAUUAGAAAAGACGACACUCGAGUGUAGUAAGAUGCCACAUGAUCGUUUUCGUGCAAGUUUUGUCAAAUUUGGUGGAGAUAUGAAGCAUUAAAUGCACCUGAAAAGUAGUCACCCGGACAGCUUUUCAGGCAAAAAUUGAAGAUAAUGAACAGUAACUAGACGACACGUCGUCUAGUUCCUCUUUUUUUUUUUGUUAAAGGGCAAUGUUUUGGAGUUUUGUAGGGUUUUAAUUUAGGAUUUUGGUCAAAGUUCAAUUUAGUUCUCUAAUGUUUAAUUUAUUGUAAUUGCACCCCUAAUUGACCCUAAGCUUUUGAUUAAAUGCAAUGCAGUCCCUAGAAAACUGCACUGUUGACCCCGAAUUUCAGCGCCUUUUUUAUUUUGGUCCUUGAUCUCGGAUUUCUUUAAUUUAGCCCCUAAUUGACCAUUAAACUUUUAAUUUCUUGCAAUUUUGCCCCUAAUUUCUUGCAAUUUUGCCCCUAAUUUCAAUCAAUUGACUUGAUAAAAAUUAAACCUGGUCUCUUAAAAUUCCAAUAUUCUCAAAUAAGCCCAAAUUGGGCUUCCAAACUUAAUUUUUUUUACCAAUUAAGCCCUUAAUAAAAUUAAUUUGACCAAUUUAAAGUAUAAUUAAGUCCUUACACAUAAUUAAAUACUUGAAUUGGACCCAAAUUAAUUCUUAAACAUAAUUAAACUUGAAUUUGGCCCAUUAUUAAAUCAAAUUGGUCUAUUAAAAAUUUAAUUAUAUCAUUGGACUUAAUUUUUAUGCAGAUUUAUCUAAUAAUUAUUUAAUUUGACCUUGAAUUGUAUUGUCUCUUCAAUCUUGGAGUGCAAUGGGUACAAUGGGGUACAAUUAGGUCUCAAAUUUCCUCUAAAAUCACAGCUUGAUUUUUCUAUAUGUUUGAAAUCCUCCUCGACCUGCUUUCUCCACGAUGUCAACUUUUGUUAUGUUCUUAUAUUUUUUGUUAUUUUAUUUUGGAAGAAAAGAAAGAAAAUGUAAAUUUGAGGAAUAACCCAGAAAUGAAUUAUAACAACCAUCAACUUCAGAACCCACUUUGGACCCACAUCUAAUUAUAUCCUGGUAUUUGAGUGAUAUAUUUUGACUUGUGACUAAUUAAUCAAACCUUAAGAAAUAAAAAUAUUUUCAAGUUUACAUUGAAUGAGUUUUUUGUACAAUAAUAGAAAAACUAUUAAAUUUAUUGUUUGAUCUCAAAACAAAGUGGUUUGUUUAAAAGAAAUGUUUGUCUCAACUGCUUUUUUAGUUGACUUGAAUUUGCAAGGUAUGAGCUGAAAUGCCAAGUAAGUGAACAUAACUAAAAUUAUCCAUUACAACCAAUUGGGUUGAUAAAGACCAGAACGCAAGGGGCAAAUGGAUGACAUAUUGAUAAGAACCCCAAGUAACAACAUGUUGAAUUUGAAGCAAUUAAGUUGGUGUCCAACCCUUACAAUACAUAUUUUUAUUUUUUAAGGGAUUUCAAAAUAAAUAUCAGUUGAAGAAAACAGCAUAUAAAAACAAUUACAUAUAUUGUCAUUGUAAGGAACUUCAAAAUACAGAGCAGUAAAAAGACCUCAACAACACGUUAGUAUAGUUAUUUAACAAAAUAACACUAUCAUUGGCAUUUUAAACCAAACAGCACUAUUGACUGCGAUUGCUCUUCUUUUAUAUUCCCCCACGUAUCUGUUUCUCUUAUCAAACCAAGAUACCUGAUAGCAGUUAUCAAUCAUAAAAAUCACAGCAGCCAUGAUCAUAGAAUUUCAUAUUCUUCACUUUUAAAUAAAGCUUAUAAUUAUUAAAUAGAAAUAUAAUUCUCGAAAUUGAUCACUAGAGUUUUAGCUUAAUAGUUAUUAAACAUUUAAGAGCCCAUUAUCUCAUUUAUGUGUAUCCCAUCUUACAUUCUCCAACUUGGUUUACAUGAUAAUCAUUUUUUUUUUUUGUGUAAAUACAUAUCAAGAUGACUAUUCUUACCUAUGCAUUCACUAUGUCAAGAUGACUAUUCUUUUUGGUAGAAACACAUUGUCACCAUGUCAAGAUAACCAAUUUUUAUUUUGUAAAUAUCACAUGUAGCCACCAUGCUAAGAUGCUUAUUCUUUUUCAUAAUAGCACAUACAAUCAUGUGUCAAGAUGAUAAUUAUUUCAUUAAGUAUUUUUAUGGUCACCAAGUUAUGACUGCUUUGUUUUUUAGUCUCACACAUAUAAUAACCAUUAGAAAACAAAAAAAAACAAGUCAUGAACUCUGAACAUUCAUGAAUAUUUAUUAAUUAACAUUCAUUAAUUAUGAAUAUUCAUCAUAAUUAAUAAACAAUAUUCAUGAAUUAUAAGUGAUUACUAUUUUGGUUUCCGAGUCUUAUAAAUAGUGCCUUGGUUGUGUGGAAAAAGUAUUCAAGAAUUUAUUGAGUUCUUUUUUUUUUUUUUUUUGGUUUUUCUAUGACUUAUUCUUCUAUUCAUUCUUUCUAAUCUAGAGCUUAGGAUUAGUUCUUGUAGACAAAUCCUGAGUAAUAUUUUCUUUGUUCAUUGGACCUUAUUUAUGAGUAUAGUUCAACAAGGUGAUGUUGAGAUCCUAAGAGGCUUAUUAAAGAAAGUUAUUUUGCGCCAAGUAAGGAUAAAUAAAGCCUUAAGGAUAAAAGAUUAAUCCUUGACAAGAACAAAAAAUUCAGAUUGGUUAUAUUUUAAAAUCUUCAAACAAGUAAGUACUUUAAAGUGGAUUUUUUUAAGUAUAUUUUUUAUUCAUGUUUAGUGUGCAUGCUAGGAUUGUAUUCAUAUAUCUUAUGCAAGUUCUUAUAUUUUUGUAUGAUUAUAAACUAAACAAAUAUGCUCACUUACCCAAUCAUCUAAUCAUUUUGUGACUUUUGGACAACAAUCUUAUGGCUUUAAAUGCUACAUGUUAUUUGUUUAGCUAAUACAUGUGUUCUUUGCGAUCUUGAGUAGUAUGCCUUUUGUUUAAUUAUAUUAAACAUAUUUAUAUUAGCAUGAUGCAUGUUAAUAAGACCUAAAAUUUUAUAAUUGUUUUUUUUUAUCUUACCUUGUUAAAAAAAAGACUAUUUGUAUGCUUUGAUGUAUGCCUAACAACCUUUAGAACUAAUCUUUAUAAGUUUGUUUUGAGUUUAUACAUGUUUUGGAAAUUUAUUGGUAUGUUCAUACAACUUGUUAAAAAACAUUUUAAAAAAUAUUUUGUAAGGCUUUUAUGCAUGCUUUAAGUAUACCUUUUUGAACUAUAUAAAGUGUUUAGUUAAAUUUUUGUUGUUGUUAAUCUUGAGUUUGAAAACUUGCUUAUACAAGUUUAUUUUUCUUGUUUUACUUUAUUGUUUUGAGAAGUCAAUUUUAUUUCUAUAAUUUUUGAAAUUAUUUGACAAAUUUUAUUGUAAAUUUAACUUGAGAUUUGGUUAGUUCAACCAAUAUUACUUUGGCAUUUACUACUUUAGUAGUGAGAAUUUUACUAUCACCUUUUGUGGUGUAUGACGAGAAAUCUAAAAAGUUAAAUGGAUUGAAAUUUAAGAUUUACCAACAUAAAUGUUGUUUUAUGUGACCAUUUUGAUCAAGGAAAAGUUUCUGUAAAGAAAAACACCAAAGUUGUCAAAUAAUAAAUUCAAUUUUAUUAUUAUGGUAGCUUUGGACAUAUAGAAAUGAAUGAUUUUGUGUGUAAGAACAACAUCUUGAAUAGAUUGGACAAUACACAAUAUGAUCUGUAUAGUUCAAAUAAGAGUGUAAAGGCACUUUGGACAAAAAUGUUCAAGGUUAAAGGUGUUAUUAUGAAAAUUUUCAAGAUUUAAAGAUGGUUGACUCGAAGAUUGUUAUAGGUUAAGUUCAAGAGUUUCAACUCAUUGUGCAUAGUAUUUAUGCAAAAGAUAUGGUUAUAAUUGAAUCCUUUUAAGUGGCUGUAAUUUUAGGAAAAUUGGUACAAUCUUGGAAACAAUUCAUAAACUACCUUAAGCAUAUGAACAAGGAAAUGGGAGUUGAAGACCUCGUCUUGAAGCUAAUGGUAGAAAAGGAUAAUGAGUUGUCAAAAAACAAAUAGCUAACUCUUUUGGUAUAGUCUUUAAAGCAUGCUUUAUGGAACAAAUGGUGAAGUUCCACAAUAAAGACAAAAAGACAAAGCUUGCUGAGAAAAGGAAAAGUAAUACUAAAAAAUUUAAUGGAAAAUGUUUUAUUUGUAACAAGACAAGGAACCCAACCUAUGGUUGUAGAAGUGGGGCUUGGAAAAUGCUAAUAAGCAUAACUCCCAAUUUGAUUGUUGGAUCAAGUUUUAACUUUACCAUAAGUUUCCACAUAACUUUUUUUUAUAUUUGGUUACAAUUUCAGGUUAAUCAGAGUUUGGAAAGGUAUCACAAUAUAGGUUAAAAGUUUAUGUAUGAGUUUAAGUAUUUGUUUCCUUAUGAUUUGUGAACUUUUUAUUUAACAAGUACUCUUUUUCUACAAGGAAAGUAUAGAUUACAACAAGUAGGAUUAUUUUGGCAAGGGUUUUCAUGUCAGCAACUACAAAAUAUUUUGCAUGAAUAUAUUAAAGUCAAUAGUGUGUCAUUGUUUACCAAGGAUUCAAGGAAAAUUAUUUGCCAAGUCAGCAUUGGAUUUUUUUUAAAGUCGACAAAUUGGUUUCUACUAGUGGAAGCUUUUGGAUUAAUUAUCUAUAUCGGAAGCUAUUGUGGUAUUAGAUGUCCUAAUGUUACAAGGCAUAAAGGUUGGUUAUAUUAAAAAUUCAAGAGUGACAGUAAUAUCUUUAUGUUACAAAGGUUACUUAGUUAUGGCAACUUAGAAUUAUAUUAUUAUUAUAGGUUUAUUUAUUUUUAUUUUGGGUUUAUUUUAAUUGGGUCUUAUGUUAGCCCAUUAGUCUAUUAGGUUUAGUUCUUUUUCAACACUAUAAUUACCAUUCUGUAAGUAUUAUUAUUCAGAUUGGUAUUAAUUAUUAAUGUUGCAUAUUGUGUGCUUAUAUGUGAGAGGGUUCUCAUACUUUUUUGGUUCUUUAUUGAAUUGUCUUGACUUAUCAAAGAAUAACUAUCUUCGUGGCAUCUUAUUGGGUAAGGGUUUCAUUCUAAUAGUUUUGAUGUCUUAGUUUAGGUAAUCAUUAUGUCAAGCUUUUAUCAACCAAAUUUGAUUUUAGCUUUCUAGGAUUCGUUCUUUCUUUCUUGCGUGUGGGUUCUAUGAUUCUUACCUUCUAGGUUCACAUCAAUUGGUAUUAGAGAAAAGCUCUAAAAUCAAGUUUUAUUUAUCUUUAUUUUAGUUUUUGUGUUAAUUUCAUCAUUUUGUCAAAUUUGAUUGCUUACGAGAACUAGUAUAAAAAAGGUUGAUAUGUUUUUUGAUUGAUUCAAAUGAGUAGAGUAUAAAAAAGAAGAAAAGAUCAAUGAGAUAAAAAAAAUUAAGAAAUUCUGCAUCAAAUUGAAUCUUUGAAAGUUUGAAAUAAAAAAUUAAGAAAUAUACACCUACAAUUAACCACCAAUAAAGUCAGGUGAUUAUAGAACAGAAAAGUUAUGCGGAUAAGCGAAGGAGACCUUUGGAGUUUCAAGUAGGGGAUCAAGUAUAUUUGAAGGUUGCUCCAUGGAAAAAUAUUAUUUGUUUUGGGAUGAAAGACAAAUUGGCGCCAAGGUGGUCCUUAUGAAAUAUCAGAAAGAAUUGGACCUGUUGCUUACUAAUUAAUACUUCCUCCUUAAUUGUCAAGGAUACACGAUGUAUUCCAUGUAUCAGUAUUGUGUAAGGAAGAAAUUGAUACAUCAUGCAUUAUACCAUCAAUGCCAAUUGAGAUUCGAGAAGAUCCGAUAAAAAUUCUUGAUCAAAGCUUCAAGGAGUUAAGGAACAAAAUUUUUGUUAGAAAGGGAGAAUGUAAACCCUGAGUUAUUUAUGGUAAUAAAAUAUAUUGUUUGCAAAAUAAAAAAUAAAUUGUAAAUCAAGGGUAUGAUAAUAUUUUAGGAGUCAGGAAAGAAUUACUUUAAAUUAAAAGGAUGGGCAUUGUGGUCAUUGGAAAACAAAAUUAGCCCUUUUAUUCCAGCAAAGGCAGCUGACCAUAGAGGAAAAAAAGAGAGGAAGAAGACAAGCUUAAGAGAGAGAAAAAAUGCAAAGAAUAAGUUAAAAAGGGUAAGGAUGAGUGAUUUUAGCUAAGAUUCUCUAACAAACAACGAAAUAAAAGAGAGAAUAAGAGAGCUUAGAAAUCAAAGUGGGGUUUUAGUGAGAGUUUAGAGAGAGGAAGAAGGUGAAUAGUGACCAGGGAGGGCAUCACAGUGACACUUGAAUCAUGUCCAUUACACUUAGGUAAGUUGUUUUUAAGUAAUAAUUUCAUAGUUAAUUAUGUUUUUGACAGGACACUUAGAAAUUCCUAAUUUGUAAGGAAGGUAAGGUUUAUACUAAUGCUGGCAUUGUGAAAAUUAAUUUAGAUUCUUGUGUUCAUUAAUGAUGAUGUUAAGUUUAGAGUGUGUUAUUGAAAAAAAAAAAUGUGUGGGAGAAGGAGGAAAUGGCUAAAGUGGCUGACUAUAAAGGAAUUUAAUUUAGGAAAUAGAAAGUGUGGUUUUUAUGGAAGAUGAUGGAAGGAUAGAGUAAUGGAAAGUGUAGAAGAUUGUGUUUUAUGUGUGUAAAUUAUUAGAAUAAGUGUGAGUGUUAUAACACAUAAGAUGAAGAAAGUAAGGCUAUGAAAUUUUAAUAAAGUAUGCUAUGAAAAAAGGUUAAACUUGAGGUGUUUAUAUUGUGUAAUUGGUGGAGAAGAAUAAUUAUUUGUAUUUAGGAACAAGAAUGAAUUAUGCUAAAGUUGUUGAUUAUUAAUAAGUAAAGCUUUGGAAAAACAAAAGGAGAUGUUGUGAUAUGAGGAAAGCUAAAUAGAAUAAGAGAUUGAAUGAUAAAAAGGUUGGGUUUACAAAUGGAAAUCACAUGAAAUAUGUUGAGAAAAAAAAUACUAUGAGUUAGACAUUAUUGGAAUGUUUAUAUGAAGAGAUGAAAUAAUUAUAAGAUUAAGCUUAAAUCAUAUAUUUUGAUCAAGGGAAGCAUUAUUGGUUUAACUAAUACAAAUGUCUUUCAUUUAGUGUUAGGAGGAACAUAUGAAGUCGGGGAUUUUAGCAGAAGGAGCUCGUGCACCAAGAGUGGCAAGUAGUUGUUUUAUUUAAAUAAUUAAAUUGCCCGAAAAAAGAAAAUUGAAAUAUGGAUACAAAACCAUGUAAUGUAAGAAAAUGAUUGGUGUAUAGUGAAUAUAAAGGAAAUUAUUGUGUUGUGAAUGUGAUUAAUAAAGGAAAUUUCUUGCGUCAUAGGAUGAAUUAACUUGAUCUCCUAUGAAGUCAGAGAUUAAAGACAAGAAAAAAUAUAACUUAGUUGUCCGUAUAUUCAAGAAAAUUAGAGUUAGAUAAUUAACUUAAUCUCCCAUAAAGUCGGAGAUUAAGGGCAUGGAAAAAGAUAUCUUAGUUGUUUGUGUAUUCGGGAAACUAAGAGUUAGAUAAUUAACUUGAUCUCUCGUGAAGUCAGAAAUUAGAGGUGUCACACGUGUGCGGCUUCAUGAUAAUCUUCCACUUUAUUGGUUUUAAGUAAUCGGGAAAAUAAGGGAGACAAGGAUUCCUUGUCUUUUAUUAGUGGAAAUAGAAAAUGGGAGUCGCCACCUAGUUUUUAGUUACUAGGAACCCUAACUGGUCUCAAAGAUCGGGCACAUGGAUAGAUUGUGUAAAGGGAAGGUAUUAACACCCCAACCCAAAUACGCCUUAUCUAAGAUAAGUUGUAUUGUUUGAUUGUUUGAUAUGAACUAAAGUGUUGUUAUAUUUCUAAUUGUUGGUCAAUCUAAGGUCUAAGAAGAGUUCUCCUCAGUAAGGAGAUCCUCAUCUUUUUAGAUAAAACCUAACCGUGUUAGUGUCAAUACAAAGAAACUAAUUUUUAUUUAAUAUUAGGAAUACAUUUUACGUGUCAGUUCGUAAUCCUGGAUAUUAAAAGAAAACAAAAUAAUUUUUUUGGAAUUUUUGAAAUAUUAGCCUAGUUCUCGUAACUUUAAUAAAUUGGUUAUUAAAGUCAAAAAUGCAUGCUAAGAAAUAUUUUUUGGAAUUUUGUUGUAUAAAAAUACGAUGUGAUUUUGUGUUUUAUCUUUAAGAGACUUGACUGUAUGUAUGAAAACAAAACUUUUUUUAUAUAUAUUUUUUUGCUACAUUUCAGAGAAAACUGGACACUUUAAUACCAGAUUUUAUAUUUUUAUAGUACAAAAAUACCAACCAAUAUUAACCAAAAUGGUAGAAAAAUACGCUAGAAAAUCACAAAUUUUUUGGAAGGAUUUUGAAAAUUUCAUGAAAUUUCCUUUGUUGCUUUUUUUUAAUAUAUAUAUAUAUAUAUAUGUAUAUAUAUAUAUUUAUAUAUAUGUAUAUAUGUAUAUAUAUAUAUAUAUAUAACAUUAUAUAUUAUAAUAAUGGAUUGGGUUUGGGUCCAACCCAAUUAUAUGGGUUGAGCCUAACUUGAUGAGGCUAAGCCUAGCCCAAAAAGGAGAUGGGCCAUGACCGACCCUAAAAAAAAAGACAUCGGGCUGCAAUGAGCCUAUAAGGAAACUGGGUCGGGACCGACCCAAAACAAAACUAGGCCAGGACCGGCCUAAAAAACAAAAACAAACUCCUUUUUAUAAGGUUGGACUCAGCCCAGCCGCGUGGACUGGGCAGAUGGUCCAGCCUGAAGCAACCAUGGACUGGUUCCUGUGCUGAGCACAGUAACCGGUUAAUUAUAAUAAACCGGUUACUGUGUUCAUGCAAAGUAACCGGUUAAUUAAAUUGCAGAAACGUGAACAAUGCACAUUCUGCAUGCAAUUAAACAAACAGGAAGAUGAAAAAGAGAAGGAGAGUGUUACCUGGAACAAAAAGGGCUCUGGUAGCUGAGCUGGCGGUGGCUUGUGGUGGCGACCAAGAAGAGUAUCUGUGGUGGUGUCGUGGCUCACGGACAGCAGCUCCAGGCAACGAUGGUGAUGCUACUGUUAGUAACAGAGAGAGAGAGUGGCUAUGCUUCUUCUUUCUGCCUCUGUUUUUUGUUUGGUGAUGCUACUGUUAGUAACAGAGAGAGAGAGAGAGUGGCUAUGUUUCUUCUUUCUGCCUCUGUUUUUCAUUUCCUUCUUUGGUCCCCGAUGUGCUAUCCUUUCUCUUCUGUUUCCCCUUCCCUUUUUGUUUUUCCUUUUUGCCCCUAUUUCCCCUUGUUUCCCUCUGUUUCGUUCCCCUUUUUUGUUUUCUCGCUUCUCUCCCCUUCUGUUCUCUCUUUUUAUUUCUCAUUUUAUUUCUCUUUUUCUUCGUUCUCCUUUUUUUUCUCUUUGCUUUCUCGUAUUUAUAAGCAGGAGGAGAGGGGCCACCCUGUCUUGUCCCGUCAUAGCGCAGGGUAGGAUGGCAUGGGGCAUUCUUUCUAAGGCAUGACUCCCCUCUCUUUUCUUCAGCGUGAUUACAGGACGUGUGAAGAGGGGUACGAGUUGUCAGUGUUUGGUCAAGUUAAGUGAAGAGAGAGAAAGAGAGAGCAUGGGAAAAAAAAUAUUCAAAAACCUUCUUCUUCCCCUACUGUACAUCCAGGGGAACAAAAAGAACAAUGUUGCUCAAAACAACAUCGUUUCGGGCUUCUCCUCCUUUUUUUUAAGUGAACAGUGUAUGAAACGUCGUCGUUUUGACCAAAACGCGCCAUUUCAAUUAAAAAAAUGGCAAUUUUGAAUUUUAAAAUUAGUCCUCAAUUUUUGAUUUGUUCAAUCCGUCCUUAAUUGCAAUUUUGAUUUUAAAAUCAAUUCAAUUGCAUCCCUGCCAAAUUCCAACGUGGGCCUUGAUCUCAGAUUUAUGCAAUUUAACCCUCAAUUGAUCAACAAACUUUAAAUUUUUUUAAUUUAACCCCUGAUUCAGUCAAUUUCAGCCCCUCUAUUUGCACGCAUUUUCCAGUUUAGUCCUUGGUUUUGGAUUUCUUCAAUCAAGUCCCUAAUUGAUCAUCAAACUUUAAUAUUUAUGCAAUUGACCAAAUCAACUCUUAAAAUUAUAAUUUGACCCCUAAACUUUAAUUUCUUCCAAUUAAAGCUUAAAUUGACUUAAAAAUCAUUUUUUCUUGCAAUCAAAACCUCCAUAAAUUCAAUUAAACCUUCAAUAAAAUUUAAUUGAGUCCAUAAACAUCUGAUUUUGGACUUUUCUUCCUCAAAUUGAAUUUUCUUCGUCAAUAGGGUUUUUAUCAGUCGAAAAUAUACGUCAAAUUUCAAUCUUUGUAUUUUUGAACCUCCUCAAUCAAUUUUUGGCCAUUUUCUUGGCUCUCUAGCAUCCUCUUCUCACUACUACACAUAUUUUUUAUUUUUUUUGUAUUUUCUCCUUUUUGUAUGGGGACCUAAAAAUAAGUAACAACAAAUGCCCCCUUUUUACAAUACUUACGAAGCAAAGACUUUGCGUAGUAAGUUUUGUAAAGCUAUAAAAAAACUAAACUCUUGAAAUAGAUUUUCUCAAAGCUUGGUUGAUCUGAAGCUCUGCCUUCACAACAAUCCCCUUCAACCGAACACUAACGAUCAAAACUAUGUAUAACUCGGUCAUUCUUCGAUCCCAAUUUGGCGAUCCUCUAAAUUCUGUCUUUUGUUGGGUUAACCUGAAAUCCCAUCUGACGAUUCCUUUUAACCAGAACCUAAAAAUAUUCUUCCUGAUGGCAGGGUUUGAACCCCCUUUUUUAUUUGAUAAUUUCCUGAUGGUAGGGUUCUUCUCACUUUUCUUCUAAUACUAAGAUAAUGUUGGUGACUCAGUCAACCUGAGAUCCCAUUUGGUGAUCUCCUUUAACUAGGACCGAAGUCUCUCUGUAGCUCGGUCAACCUGGAAUCCUAUCUGGCGACUCCCUUUAACCAAAACUAAAAUCUGUAUGUGGUUGGAUUAACCUGAAACCCCAUCUGGCGAUCUUCUUUAACCAGAACCAAAAUUUUGUGUGCAGCUUGGUCAACCUGAAAUCCCAUCUGGCGACUCCCUUUAACCAAAGCUAAAAUCCAUGUGUGGUUGGUUUACCUAAGACCUCAUUUAGCGAUCUCCUUUAACUAGAACUAAAAUUUUAUGUGUAGCUUGAUCUACCUGAAAUCCCAUCUAGCGACUCCCUUUAACCAAAGCUAAAAUCUGUGUAUGGUUGGGUUAACCUUAGACCCCAUUUGGUGAUCUCCUUUAACUAGAACCAAAAUUUUAUGUGCAGCUUGAUCUACCUAAAAUCACAUCUGGCGACUCCUUUUAACUAAAGCUAAAAUUCGUGCGUGGUUGGGUUAACCUAAGACCCCAUCCGGCAAUAUCUUUUAACCAGAACCAAAAUUUUGUGUGUAGCUUGGUGAACCUGAAAUCCCAUAUGGCAACUUCCUUCAACCAAAACUAAAAUCUGUGGGUUUUAACAAUCUUUUGACUCGUCUGAGUCGGUUUACAAGAAUUCUCCUAUAACAAACAAAAAAAUCUUGUGCAAUGUUUGAUGUUGAAUGCAUGCUUUCUUGCCUGGCUUGGAAACAUAGGUUCCAUUCCUUCAAUUUUGCAAAACUCUCUCCUAACAUGAGCUUAUUCACGUGUUUGAAAUUGUAUGCUGGACCUGUUUCACGUGUUGUCUGUUUUACCCAUCAUAUCUUCAGGAAAAAAAAGUCCCCACCUUUUUUGCAAGUGGCCCAUUUCUCAAAAAUAUAUGUUUUGACAUUGCUUUUCAUUAUGCUCUUAUCAGUGCUUUAAUUUUUCUUUUUCAAAUUAAAGGCUUUUUGGUUCUGUUUCAGCAUAAAAAAAUUUCAAGAAGAAAAAUAUUUAAAAGACUUGGUUUUGUUCAUAACAAGUGAAACUUUGGCAUCAAAAACUCUUUUAAACAAUCCCCCUUGAGAUUUUUAUUGAUUUCUAGAAAUAUGGUUUGUCUUUAGGUUAGGCUUUUAUUAGAGGUGACCUUCUGUAUAAUUUUUUCAAAAAUUUCCAGUAUCUACUUGAAAGGGCUGUGUUGAAAAAAGGAUUGUCUCAUAUCAGCAUUUUUCUUGUUUCGAUAAAAGCAGGUUAGCACUCAUUUAUCAAGUCGUGUGAAUCGUAAGAGCAACAUCUAUCAACCCAGGUUGUGUGCGCUUGAUUAAAAAGGACUUCUAAAGGCAUGUAAUGUAAGCUACGACUGUGGGAUAUGAAAGAAAAGGAUGCUUUUAAGGCUCAAAAGUGUUUGAGGGUUUAAAGACUCAGGAUCACUUUUCUUCUAUCUCUUAUUCUUGUGAAGUUGUCUCGGAGAUUGUGUUUGGAGAAACUUGCUUAGGAAUCUCUAUCUCAGUCUUAAAACCUCAUUAAAUCAUCAUCUCUUUUUUUCUUUCCACUUUCAUGAUGAUGCCCCUAAGUGUUUGGUUUUGACUUUCAAAGAUCCAAGUGUUUUUCUUGGUAUUUUUCCCAAACUUCCUCUCCUCUUCCUUUUUAGCCUUUUCUCAAUCAUUGGACUUCUAUUCGUAGCCUUCUUUUUACAGUUGAUUGUACUAUUCUCUUCAUUUUUUCUAAUAAAAGAUCUCUUUUUCCCCCUAGUAUGGGUUGUGAUCGUGAUCAGGGUUUUUAUAAAAAAGAAGCUUAUUCCGGCUCAAAAGGGGACCCCUAAGGAUAUAAUCUUUAGAAAGUGAAAGGAUAACAAAGAUGACAUUUUCUCAUUUCAAAACGCACAUUGUUAGGAUUGAUACACUUUGUUCUUGUCUUGAAAGAAAAUUGCGAGUGAUUACCCAGCCAAUCAUUUAUACAAUUCAAAAUGCUACCAGAGACAAUGUUUUAUCUUAGGGUUACCUUUGGUUUGUUAGGUUUGGUCACCUCUUUACCAGGAAUUGCUUAAACAUCAUCUUUGAGCAUUUUAUGAUACAUUAUUUAAGUGUUGUGAGAUCAAUACAAUGAAGAAAAAAAGGGUUCUUUGCAUGAAGAAAUCAUGGCCAAACUUCACUUUAUUGAUUUUGGGAGAAAACUGAACACAUCAUACAUAAUAUCUUUUUAUAGAAUCAGAAUUCACAGGUCUAGCUAGAUCUUCCCCAUCUAUUCUAGACAACUUCAAAGCUCCUCCUGAGAAAGUCUUAUUUACUACACAAGGACCCUUGUAAUUCGGUGCCUAUUUAUUCUGAUCUUCUCUUGGUAAGAACAAUAUUUUCUUCAACACUAGAUCUUUUUCUUGGAACAAACAAGGUCUAACCCAUUCUUUUCUAGUAGAGUUGAUGAUAACAAAUUGCAACUACCCUCUUUUCACUGAUAAGAUUUAGUUGUUCAUAUCUCACUUUGGCCCACUCAACCUCUUCUAGUUUGGAAUCUAUCAACACCCUUAACAAGGGGAUUUCUACUUCCAAAGGCAUCACCGCUUCCAUCCCAUAUACCAGAGAAUACAGAGUAGUUCCUGUCGAGGUUCUAAUUGUUGUGCGAAAUGCAUGGAGAGCAAAUGGUAACAUCUCAUGCCAAUCUCUGUAAGUGAGUAACAUCUUCUGAAUAAUCCUCUUGAUGUUCUUGUUGGCGGCUUCCAUGGCACCAUUCAUCUUCAGCCUAUAUGGUGAGGAAUUUGAAUGUUUGAUUUUCCAUUUGGUACAAAGCACUAAUAUCAUUUUGCCAUUAACAUUAUGUGUAUUAUCAGUCACUAGCUUUUCUAGAGGGCCGUAUCGACAAAUCAAGUCUUUUUCUAUGAACCUCUUUACCACCUUUUGCGUUACAUGAGCAUAUGAACUCGCUUCUACCUAUUUUGUGAAGUAGUCGAUAGCCAUGAGGAUAAAUAUAUGUCCAUUACUGGCUUUUAGGUUAACAAGCCCAACCACAUCAAUUCCCCACAUUGCGAAUGGCUAGAGAGAGGCUAGAUUAAAUUGUGGAGCUGGAGGUGCAUUGACCUUGUCACUAUAAACUUGAUAUUUGUGACAUUUUCUGGCAUUUUCAAUGCAGUAUUUCUCUAACAUCAUCCAAAAAUAACUUGCCCUUUAUAUUUUUCUUGCUAACAUAUGCCCAUUAGCAUGGGUUGAGCAAGUCCCUUCAUAGACUUCUCGCAAUGCAUUUCUAGCCUCUAUCUCAUUCAAACACCUUAGCAAGGUUCCAUCAAAUGAUAUUUUAUACAAAAUCUCUCUGUCCAAAUAGAAAUCAAUGGCCAAACUCAAGGUUUUCCUAUUUGUUUUGGAAGCUCGCACAAGGUAUUCUUGAUUAUGCACAAAAUUCUUCAUAUCAUAGCACCAAGGGUUUUCAUAUAUCUCUCCUUCAAUUGAGUAACAGUGAGCUGAGUAGUUUUUGAUGUCAAUAUGUAUUGGUUGUACCUUAUGCCCGAGAUCAAUUAUAGCUAAUAUGGCUAAAGCAUCAACAAAAUGGUUCUCUUUUUUCCUAGAUGGGUGAAUUCUACUUCUUCAAAUUCUUUUACCAAUGUGGAUAGAUAUUCCUAAUAUAUCCUCAACUUUUAUUCAUUGGUUUGUCAUUCUCCUUUUAUCUGAUAGAUAAUCAACAUUAAGUCGCUAUACACAUCUAUCUUUCUGAUCUUCAGCUCUAACGCAGCUUUUAAAUCGAGAAUGCAAGCCUUAUACUCAGUUGUGUUGUUGGUGCACUUGAAAUACAACUUUACUGAAAUCGGAUACUGCUUCUUGUCAGGAGAGAUUAUUACUGCGUUGGCCCCAUUACCAUAUAUAUUCAUUGCACCAUAAAAAAGCAUGGUCCAUCGAUUUGUCUUUUCUUCUUCUUCUAUUGACAUUAUAUCUUCAUCAAAGAAGUCAAAAUCCAAUGGCUCAUAAUCUUCAAUAGCGUUAUCAACCAGCUGGUGAACAAUUGCACUUCCUUUCAUGGCUUUCCUCGUCAUAUACACUAUGUCAUAUUCUACUAACAAGACCUGCCACCUUGUAAUUCGGCUUGAGAGAUAAGGCUUGUUGCAGAUAUACCUCAAGGGGUCCACCUUUGAAAUCAACCACGUGGUAUGAUACAACAUAUAAUCUCGUAAUCUUUUCGUCGCCCAUAUAAGUGCACAACAAAGCUUUUCUAUCACCGUGUAUUUAGACUCACAUAAGUGAACUUUUUACUUAGAUAAUAAAUAGCUUUUUCUUUCUUCCUGGUUUCAUCAUGCUGACCUAAUACACAUCCCAUAACUGCUUCAAUCACUGCCAAAUAUAAUAUCAAAGGUCUCCCCGACACAGGAGGAACAAUCAAAGGCAGAUUCUGUAAAUAAUGCUUGAUUUUAUUGAAGGUCUCUUUACACUCCUCAUUCCAAGUCCUAGGAUUAUUUUUCCUCAAUAGGUAAAAGAUAGGUUCACAUGUUGUUGUUAGUUGAGCUUUAAAUCGGGCAAUGUAGUUCAAUCUUCCCAAAUAUCCCCUUACCUCCUUCUCUAUCUUAAGGGAUGGUAUAGAUUGGAUGACCCUUACUUCAUCUGGAUCUGCCUCUAUACCUCUGUCACUUACCACGAAUCCUAGUUGCUUUCCAGACUUGACUCUGAAUGAACAUUUCACAGGGUUGAGUCUUAGUUCAUACUUCCUCAAUCUCUCAAAUAACUUUCUUAAAACUUUGACAUGGUCUUUUCCUUUUUUGAACUUGGCAAUCAUAUCAUCUACAUACACCUCAAUUUAUUUGUGCAUCAUAUCAUGGAAGAGCGUCACCAUGGCCCUUUGAUAGGUGGCCCCUGCAUUCUUCAAACCAAAUGGCAUAACCUUGUAGUAAUAUGUUCCCCAUGGUGUGACAAAAGUUGUUUUUGCCUUAUCUUCUAGAGCUAUUUUUAUCUAGUUGUAUCCCAAAAAGCCAUCCAUAAAGGAAUACAUGGAACUAUGUGUAACAUUGUCGACCAAAAUAUCUAUACGCGGUAGAGGAAAAUCAUCUUUGGGACUAACUCUAUUCAAAUUCCAGAAGUCCUCGCAAACCCUAAUCUUCCCUUCUUUCUUUGGCAUGACAACAAGCAUUCCACUGCUUCUCGUGCUCCACCUUGACUUUGAUCCCAUGUAUAUGGAUGGGCUCUCCUCAGCUUUUCCUGACUGAUUUACAACCUUUUCCCAAUGGUAUCUUGUGCACUACAAUACUUGUAUCCAAGCCCAACAUAUCUUUAUAAGACCAUGCAAACAAAUCUAAAUAUUCUUGUAGUAAGGCAAUCAUUUACACUAUUUAUUUAGGAGUAUUUAAGGUCCCUAUUUUCAAAUCUUUCUUAAACUGAUCGUUACCAACAUUUAUGCUUCCAAGUUCUUCUGCAUCGGGUUUCCAAGUUUGUUUAUGUUGCUCUACUAGCUUUGUGAAUUCCCUAAUAUUGCUAUCAUAUGUUUGUUAAAGUUUGACCAUUCAUUCUUGAUGCUAAGUGUAUGUGAUGCUAUGAAAGAUCCACUUUUAAAAUUCCUGAAAGCGGGAAGUGUUUGGUGUAAAUGCGCUAAAAGAUAAUUUUGGAAAAUGCAUGAUCUCAUAUUAUAAAGAAAAGGUAGGAUUGAUGAAAAAAAGACAAAAUCUAGCUGACAUCAUGAGCCUUGAUUGUCAACCAGAAGUAAUAAAAGAAGCAAACAAAAGCAAUGACAAAAGCAUGUUAAGACAAACAAAGUUGGUAUACAUUUUAAACACUACUGGAGCUUCCUGGAUCUUCCAGUUUUGAAAUUUUUUGCCCUUGGCCAGCUUUCGUACAAAGGUUUUGGCAGAGACUUCUUCUAGAGUAUGGACAGUCAGUUGUGGCAAUGCUUUAUCUUCCUCUUCGGCCACUGUCUUAUGGUCACCUCCUUCCACCUUAACAUAGAGAGAGUGGCUCUGUUUCUUCUUUCUGCCUCUGUUUUUUAUUUCCUUUUAUUUUUCCUUUCUUACUCCCUGUUGUGCUUUCCUCUCUUUUGUUUUCCCUUCCCUUUUUGUUAUUCCUUUCUGCACCUAUUCUCCCUUAUUUUCCCUUGUUUCCCUCUGUUUCUUUCCUCUUUUUUUCUCGUUUCUCUCCCCUUCUGUUCACUCUUUUUGUUUCUUUUUUUUUUCUUCGUUCUCCUUUCUUUCUUUCUUUUUAUUUGUCUCUCUCCCCUCAAAAACUCUCUUCUCUAUUCCCCUGUUCUUUUUUUUCUCUUCUCUUCCCCCCUUUUUUUUUCUCUGCUUCCCUAUAUUUAUAAGUAGGAGGAGAGGGGCCACCCUGUCCUGUCCCAUCAUAGUGCAGCGUAGGGUGGCAUGGGGCAUUCUCUGCAGGGCAGGGCUCCCCUCUCCUUUCUUCAGUGUGAUUACAGGGCGUGUGGAGGAGGUACGACUUGUCAGUGUUUUGUCAAGUUGAGGGAAGAGAAAGAAAGUGAGCACGGUAAAAAAAACAAAUUCAAAACGGGAAAAAACCUUUUUCUUCCCCUGCUGCAUGUCCAAUGGAAGAAGAAGAACAAUGUCGUUCGAAAUGACAUCGUUUCGGGCUUCUCCUCCUCUUUUUUUAAAUGAACAGUGCAUGAAACAACAUUGUUUUGACCAAAACACGUCGUUUCAAUUAAAACAUGGCGCUAAAAUAUGUUAAUUUCCAAAUUAGUCCUAAAUUGAUUUGAAAAUCAAUUUUUCUUGCAAUCGAACCCUCCAUAAAUUCAAUUAAACCUUCAAUAAAAUUUAAUUGAGUCCAUAAACAUCUGAUUUUAAACUUUUCUUCCUCAAAUUGAUUUUUCUUCAUCAACAAGGCUUUCAUCAGUCGAAAAUAUAUUGUCAAAUUUCAAUCUUUGUAUUUUUGAAUCUCCUCAAUAAAUUUUUGACCAUUUUCUGGGCGCUCUAGCAUUCUCUUCUCACUACUACACAUAUUUUUUGUUUUCUUCUAAAUAUAUUUUUUUGUAUUUUCUCCUUUUUUGUAUAGGGACCCAAAAAUAGGUAACAACAAAAGCCAUGGAAAAAGAUAGGUUAAUUGUUUGUGUAUUUGUGAAACUAAAGGAUAGACGAUUAACUUGAUCUCUCAUGAAGUCGGAGAUUAAGGGCAUGGAAAAACAACAACUUAGUUGCUGUGUAUUCGGAAACUAAGGGCUAGAUUAAUUAACUUAAUACUCUGAAGAAUUAAGAAGCCGGAGAAUAAGGGUAUGGGAGAUCUAUUUAGUCGUACUCAAAAUUGGAAAUUUGAAAAUAAAGAAGUAGGGAGAUCGAAAGUAAAAGGUUAAAAUGAUCUUAUAAGUGGUGAUGAUCAAGUAUGGUCCUAGGGAUGCUUUUUUUUAUGUUACUUAAUUAAGAGUAAACUAGAUUGUGGGUAAAGUUCCUUAUUAAAAUGUUAAGGCUUUAGAAUGAAUUUUAAGAACACACACACACAUAUGAUGUGGAAGUGAUAGAGAACAUGUUGUUGGCAUGUGGAUUUGGGAAAGAUGAUAUCAAUAUAUGUUUUUCUUGUUUUUCUACAGGACCCUCACAUUUUGUUGGGCCACAUUGACCAUUAUCUUAUUUUAGUUAAUUAGUAUAUUUUGGUUAGGUAAUGCUUCAUUUUGUAAAACUCUAUAUUGGUGUAUUUUAAAUUAAAACUUUACAUUCUUUUUUGGAUUGUAAUAAUUUAUAUGACUUUUUGUGUAGUAAAUAUUAAAUUCUUCUCUCCUAGUAUUGUUAAAUAUAAUUCAUUUUUUGAUGAAUGGUGGUGUAAAUUAAUUGUUUGGAAGGAAAAACGAAAAUGCUAAAGAUUCUUAUGUUGGAUUUGCAUGAGACUGUUCUAAAUUGAUUUGGGCUGUGAAUUUGCUUAAGUGCAGGUACUUGAUAAAUGUCAAUAACUUGGUACCAAUAAAACAAAGAAAACUCUGCUGAAAUUUUUAAGAAAUAAAUGGAUUUUUUUCAUUAAAAGAAAAAAAAAACAGGGUCUUUUAUUUAACAGAAUUAGAAAUUGGGGGUGUUACAAUCGGGGAUAGCAACUUAGAAGUUAUUGAUUACAUAGUCGACCCUUGCAAUGGGGACUAUGGAUUUAGUUUGAUGGGGAUGACAAUAAGGGAUGCUGAUCACUUAGUUAAACAUGUAAAUGAGACUAAGGUUAUGGAAUUGAUUACUUAGUUGACUGUGAGAACGAGACUAAGGUUAUGGAACUAAUUACUUAGUCAACCAUGUGAACAAGACUAAGGAUAUGAAAUUGUUACGUAGUCGGUCAUGUGGACAGUGACUAAGGUUAUGGAUAUGAAAAAAUAAUAUUAAAAAAAAUAUGAUUUGAUGGCAAGAAAUUAAUAUGUAAAAUAUAAAUUAACCACAACAGUGAGAUUUAAUUUAAUGGACCGCUAUGGCAGAAUUUAUUACGUGAGAUAUAAAUUAAUCACCAUGGUUGGACUUAAUUAAAUGGAUCACUAAUACGUAGAAAUUAAAAUGAUUGCUAUGGAAAAUUUUAAUAUGUAAAAGAUUAAAUUUGGUUUCAAUAGUGGACCUAGAUAGAAAAAAAUAUAUAUAAUGUGGAUAAGAAUAUUUGAAUGGGCCAAAAGUGGGCACAAGAAAUAUUUAAAAUGGGAAAGUAUUUGACAAUGUAAAAAAUGAGCAUAAGAACUAUUUAAGAUGGAGAAUAUAUAUAUAUAUAUAUUCGCAAUUUAUAUGGGUAUAUUGCCCUUUCAUCACUCAACGAGACUUACUAUCAUUCAGUAAUGUUCACCUGUAGUUCUAAUGUUUUCUUUGUUCAACACCAAUACUGUUUCUUAUAAUACUAUUUCUACCUAGAUCCCAGUAGGCUCUGAUACUAAAAGACAUAAAGAGAAAAUCAAGUAAAGAGAGUAAAGAGAACACAAAGUAAAAACAAAACCAGUAAAGAGAAAACUCUCUACCUUUGGAAGCUCAGGAGGUCUCCUUUUAUAAUGGAGCUGUCAUGGAAGAGGCCAAAAGACUUUUGAAAGGCUGAAGAUUAUUUUUGGCACUUUGUAGUUGGCCCUGUGUUCUUGUUCCCCAUGGUCAAGAGACGACAAUCUUGGAAAUUGCCUUUGAAUUUCAUGGGGUUUUUCUUUAUUGUCUUGUACUCACCAAUAAUUGAUUUGUUAUUUCAUAGCAUCAAGAGAUUUUAUAGGAAAAGGCGUGAAAUAAUGGGUAUGAAAAAAAGAGUUUAAAAAUAAAAAGACUGGCCCUAAAAGAAGGCUCAAAACAGGUGAGCCUAAAAUCUUGAAAAUAAUUUUUUUUUAUGGAUUUGUAAAGAUGGUAGGAUGCCAUAGUAAUCAUCUUCAUUCUCAUUACUGAGAAGAGUAUAUGAUCCUAAGGAUAAGGAGGCUGAAGAAGAGGAAAACAAAAAUUCUCCUUUUCCAUUAUUUAGGAGUUGUUUCAUGACCUUAAAAUAUUCUUCUUUGGAUUUGGAAGUUGCCAAGAGUGCUGAGGCAUGGGCUUUUUAGGCGAGGAAAAGGGUUCGAGACUGGUCUUGUAGAGGUUGUGGUUCUUCAAUGCCAUGUCUGUUGUUUAAAGAAAGCCAUAACAUUACAGCAAAUUCAGAGCUUUUAUUUUCUGGCGCAAAAAAGUCUCGCCAUUUGACUUUGUAUCUUCUAAUCAAAAUUACAUGAGCAUACCCAAGGCACAAAGAAUUUGGAACAAAACAUAAGCAUUUGAGGAAAUUUCUUUUUUCUCUCGGUGCUUCUAAAAUUCUGUUUGAAAAGUUUGUAGCCUUUUCCAACCACAGGGUGUGGGUGCAGGAGUUCAAUAAUGCAAUAAAAGUAAUCCCACCAUUGACGGAACCAGUUUGGUAGUUUUGUAGUAUUCAUGGAGUUAUCAAAAUAAAAUAACCUGAAAUGGCUUCCUUUGGAGUUUUGGAGAAAGAAAGCAUUAAACCAUGCCUUUUGGUAGUCUCAAUAGGAAUAAGUUUGGAAAUAGUUAUGUAAUUUGAUUUGAAAGCUGAUAUGAAAAUGAAUCUCAUGAUGAAGAGGUUGUUUCCAAUCAGUUGGAUGAAGGACAUCUUGGACGAUACCGGUGGAAUAGGCUACUUCAGUAUGGUGUUGUUUGAGGUUAAAAUCUUGAAAUUUUACUGAACCCGUGAUUUUAAGGAUGACCAUGUAGUAAGCAUGGGUUUUUAUAGUGUCCCAAGGUUUAAAGUACCACCCUAAAGGAAAAAAUUUUGUAGCUGUGACCAAAGGAUCAGGAUGGUAAAAUCCAUCUUCAACAGUUAAAACAUUUUGAAAAUUGUUUUUGAUGAAAUAUUUGGAUUUUGGUUUUGAAGAUGUUUUCAUGAAAUUGGUUUGGGAUAAUGAGAGAUUUGUAGAUUGAAGCAGAGGUUUUUGAGAAGAAGACUCUGCUUAGGUUUUUGAAAUCAGUUUAGAAGUUUUACCUGAUUGAGAGGAUUCAUCCUCUUGAGAGGACUUCUGGUUUAAUAAGUUGCUUUGAAAUUUUGUAAUGCAUAGAACAAUUGGAGAAAUUUCUUUCUUGAUGGUAGAGUAAUUCUUUUGGCAGUCAUUCUAAUGGGCAGAAGUAAAUUGAAGAAUUUGUUCUUUAGAAUUUUGAACUUGUUUGAGAAUUCCUCCAUACCCCAAUUCAGACGCAUCUGUUUCUACAAUCUUAGGAGCUAAGGAAUUGGCUAGAUGAAGACAAGGGAUUUCUUAGACUUGUUUUUUAAUCUAACGAAUGAGAGCAAUAUAUGCAUUGGACUAUGGCACUGGGUUUUUUCUUUGUCUAUCAUGAAGGGUUUUGCAAAUUAUAUCAAUGAAUGGAAUUCCAAGAAUAAUGGUAUGAUUUAUAUCAUUUGUAAUAACAAAGAAAUUUUUAAGAUAAAAACCAUUAUUGAGAAUGGAUGCUAGAGUUUUUCCUAAAAGAUGAAGUUUGGAAUUGUUCGCUGCAGAAAGUUUUGUAGAAAUAUUUUGAAGAAAUUGUUUAGGAAGUACUCCUUCUUUGAUGCAAUUUAAAUCAGCACUUGUAUCAAACAAGGUAAUAGUUUCUAAUUUGUAGUCUUCUGAAAAAAAAACUAAAGUAAUUUUUAUUAAAUAUGUUUUUGAAGUAAUUUGCAUUAAAACAUUUAAAAAAUCUUAAGGAAUAUGUUCAAUGUAUGAUAAUGCAUAAGUCUCAAGAGUUUGUUCUUCAAAUUCUGGUUCAGAAUCUGACUAACUUUCCAACUUGGUCAAGAGGUGUUAUAAUAUUACUGAGUCUUUUUAUUAGGCUUGUUUAAGGGUUUGUAACUCAGACUUAAGGGUCUUAAUUUCUGACUGUAACUCUGGGAUAGUCGCUAUAGGUUUGGAUUUCUUUUUCUUGCGAAGGAUUUUUGUAAGGUCAUAAGUGUUGGGACUAGUUGUAGGGAAGAUGAAAUGGUUCUAGAUUGACCAAGGUGUCUCACGUUUCUUGAAAUUAUUCAACAGCUUAUCUAAAUAGGAUUUUUGUAAUUGGGGAUCAUCCAAUCUUUUGAUGGCUUCAAGAAUAAAUUAUUGGUCUCUGGUUAAGACAUUAAGUUGUUUGUGGGAUGGGGUUUCAGAAUCAGAACUAGAAGUUGCCAAUUCUUCUAUUUGGAAAGCUUCUUCCGAAGUGAAAGGAUAUACAAUAUGAUGUUCGAAUGCAUAAUACAUUUCAAACCAAUCAAAAAAAAAGAUUUCGACUUUAUGUAAUGUGAUGAAAUCAUAAAAAUAUUUUUGUAUCUCGUGUCUUUGUUGUAAAAAGUUUUGAAAAAACAAAAUCUCUUAUCAAAGUUAUGGGUACCAUAAAAAUCAUUUUUGAAAUAAAUUUUCUCAAUAACAAAUUCUUUUCCUGAAGUCAAAAAAUUUAGCUUGUUUUGGAUGUUUUCUAUGAUUUCAGAAAAGGUUGGAGAGGUUGGAGGGGAUUGCUGUUUAGGGUUUGCAUAAAAAGGUUUAGGUAUAUUUGUAGUGUAAUCUACAUUUUGGAAGCUGGUAUUUGGAAUAUCAAAGGUUGAUUUCCUAAGUGGAUUUGCAUGGUAUAGUAUAUUUAUGAUAGAAAGGAUUUUAGAGAUUUUUCCUAGAUCUAUAGUACUGGAUGUGGAAGACUCAUCUGAAAACUUGGAACUAGUUGAGUGCCGAUGGAAAGACAAUUUGACUUUUCCAUCUAUAUAUUCAGUUAUUUCUUUGAUCUGAUAUUUGGUUUUGGUGGUUGUGGUGAUUGAGGUUGUGUUACACCUGCAAGGAUCCAGUCCUCUAGAAGGGUUAUAUCUUUCCACUAGAUGGCUCUAGGAACAAUUGUGUUUGAUCUAGAAAGGUCAAUUUUGAGGAUUAGGGUUUCACCUUUUUAUGAUUGGAAUUUGUGUUUGCUGGAAAAGGCUGAAAACAUGGCUUUGUAGUGAAUCUUGAAGAUCAAAGCGACUGGAAUUGAUCCUUCAAGCAUAUUGUAAUUGUGGGUUUUUAUUUGUAAGAUCAUGCUUUCUAAGUUAUUUCAAUCUUUAAGGGAUAUAGUAGGGUUUGGAUAACUGGAUCACUGCAUAGGCUAGACUCAAUAGAACUUAGUAAGGAAUCUUGGAAAUUUUGAAAUCUAGUGUCUCUGAGUACUACUAGAAUGGAGGUAUUGAGACCUUCGUUGGUAAGAGGUUUGAUCCCAACCUGUACAAGGCUGAUAUGGAUAUAUUUGUAGUUUCGAUCUUGAUGUUUUUGUAGGGUUUUAGGAGAAACGAGUUGGAUUGUUUCAAAGGGUUUUGUAAGCUGAAUAUCUAUUUAUUUAGUUUUGAUUGUAAAAUCAGUUUUGAAAAGAUUAAAUUUAGAAUUUUGAUAAAUUUGUGUUUUUGAAAGUUUUGGAAUUUUCCAAUCAUCAAUAUUUUUUGUAAAAUCUUCAAUUGUAAUUUCUUCACUAUUAAUAACUCUUUUACUUUUAGAAGAUUCAAAGGUAGAGGAAGCUGAAAUAGAAGUUGUUCCACAAAAAACAAAAUUCAUGAUUUUAAAGAUAAAUUAAAAAAUACAGGCCGCAAUUUAUAUGGGUUUACUACCCUUUCAUCACUCAACGGAACUUACUAUCAUUCAGUAGCGUUCACCUAUACUUUUAAUGUUUUCUUUCUUCACCACGAAUAUUGUUUCUUAUAAUAUUAUUCCUACCCAGAUCCCAAUAGGCUCUGAUACCAAAAGACAUAAAGAGAACACAAAGUAAAAAGGAAUAGUAUUAUAAGAAAACCAGUAGGCUCUGGUACCAAAAGACAUAAAGAGAACACAAAGUAAAGAGAAAACUAGUACGUGUUGUUACAUCUGAGAAUGAUCUAAAGAUUAGGUCAUAGAUGUCCAACCAAUAUAUUGGAUUUGAAAACACAAGAAGUUUCUGAUGUGAAUGAAGAGGCAAGUCAAUGACAGGGUCCUUUAACAAACAUAGAGCAUACUUAAUUUUACAAAAUUGUAAAUAUAUAUAGUAAGAUAAUGAGCUCUAAAGUAAAGAAUCUUACUUAAAUUUGUAUAGAAACCAAUACAUGAGAUAUUGGUUAUUAGUUAUAGGAGAGUGUUUAUAUAUAAUUUUCUUCAGUGUAUUUCGCUCUGCCUUUAGAAGCUUAGAAUGUCUCCUUUUACAAUGGAGCUAUCAUGGAAAAGGCCAAAAGACUUUUUGAAAGGCUAAAGAUUCUUUUUGGCGCUUUGUAGUUGGUCAUGUGUUUUUGUUCCCCAUAGUCAAGAGAUGCCAAUCUUGAAAAUUGCUUUUGAAUUUUGUGGGUUUUUCUUUAUUGUAUUGUACUCAUCGACCAUUGAUUUGUUAUUUUGUAGCAUCAGGAGAUUUUGUAGAAAAAUGCCUAAAACAAUAGGCCUCGAAAAAAGAGUUUGAAAAUGAAAAGACUAGGCCUAGAAGAAGGGCUCAAAAUAGGUGAGCCUAAAAUUUGGAAAAUACUUUUUUUUUAUGAAUUUUGUAAAGAUGGUAGGAUGUCAUAUCAAUCAUCUUCAUUAUCAUUACCGAGAGGAGUAUAUGAUCCUAAGGAUAAAGAGGCUGAAGAGGAGGAAAACAAAAAUUCUCCUUUUCCACUGUCUAGGAGUUGUUUCAUGACCUCAAAAUAUUCUUCUUUGGAUUUGGCAGUUGCCAAGAGUGCCGAGGCAUGGGCUUUUUGGGCGAGGAAAAGGGUUCGAGACUAGUCUUGUAGAGGUUAUGGUUCUUCAAUGCCAUGUCUGUUGUUUAAAGAAAGCCAUAACAUUACAGCAAAUUUAGAGCUUUUAUUUUCUACAGCAAAAGAGUCCUAUCAUUUGACCUUGUAUCUUCUUAUCAAAAUAACAUGAGCAUUUUGGUCGUUGUAGUUAAAUUACUAUGAGCAUACCCAAAGCAUAAAGAAUUUGGAACAGAGCAUAAGCAUUGGGGGAAAUUUCUUUUCUCUCUCGGUGCUUCUGAAAUUCUAUUUGAAACUUUUGUAGCCUUUUUCAACCACAGGGUGUGACUGAAGGUGUAAACCCCAGGGAAAAAUAAAGGUUGCUUAGAUUGCAAACUAACUACAUGAGAAACAAAAGUGAAGAAAUUCAUGCAUAUGGUUAAAUAAAAACGGGAAUUCGGAAAUUUUUUGAUAUAAGUUUUUGGACGAAAUACUUCGAGACAUUAUAAAUCAACCCGAAAAUAUUGAGGGUUGGAUUAAAUUAAUGAAAAUAAACUAAACUAAAAGUUGUGGGGUGAAAUUAUACGAAAUGAAAAGAGGUAUAACUUAAUUAUAAGAAGAAAAAAAGAUGUGGGGGCCUAAAUGCAAAUAAGAAAAAUUAUAGAGCAUAAAUACUCCUAUUCUCACCAAAAAUCUGCAGCAAUCGUAAGGAAAGAAAAGAGGGAGUUUUUGUAUCCAUUCUUGCAAAAUCAAGAGAGAAACACCAAAAUUUCAAGAACCCAUCCAAGAUUAAGGGUUUAUAAAUGGAAUAAACACUUGUGGGCAAGGGAUUAACAAGAAAAUUGAACAAAAAGAGCAGAUGGAGGGCUGGCUAUCAUUAGAUAAGAAAGGAGGGAGUUCAAAAUCUUCAACUGGUUGAAGAUCAAAACCUUAAUUCGUAACGGGUAAGGUGUUCUAAACAUGAUCUUAUAAGUCAUUUCAAAUUCGAUAAUGAAUUGAUGUCUUGAUGUGAGUUAUAGAUUAGGGUUCUUAGACUUGAAUUGGGGAAAAAGUAUUUGUUGUUAAAAUUAAGUUAAUUCAUGUGUGGUAUGUGAUUGGGGAUGCGAAACCAUGAUAAUUUACCCAGAAAAUGUAGUUUGUGAAAGUUAUGUGUGAAGGGAAGGGGGGUGACGAAUCUGGACAAACUCAUCUCCUGACUUUCGGUAAGAUUUCGAAUAUGAGGAUGAGGGAAUUAGAACCAAGUUCCUUCAUAGCAAUUGUAGUUUUAGAUGUUAGCUAACUAAGGAAAUUGGUCUUGCUCAUUUUGGAGCAGUAGAACUCCAGUUAUGGGUUAUCAACCGAGACUGGGUCAUGACAGACCCUGUAGGGCAGUAAGUCUGAUUUGUUGAUGAGCAAGUAUGAUUGUCUUAGAGGCUGAGCUGGGUUCUCCUUCCUUCAAAGAACUUGUAGACCCAUGUCUUAGCUUUCCAAAGACCAAUCUUGCUUGAAACGAAGUUCUAUAACUCUAGAUAUAGUUAAAAAUCUGAAGAGAGGUCGGACAGUAACAGUCAAUAUCUAGACAGUGAUGGUUGGACAGUAAUAGUUCAAUGCUUAGACAGUAACGGUUCAAGAUAGUAACAAUUCAAUAUCUAGAUAGUAAUAGUUCAAGACAGUAACAGUUCAAUAUCUAGACAGUAACAAUUCAAUGUCUAGAUAGUAACAGUUGGACAGUAACAGUUCAAAUGUUUGUUGAUGAGCAAUUUUGACUGUCUUAGAGGCAGAAUUGGGUUCUCCUUCCUUCAGAGAACUUGUUGCCUCAUGUCUUAGCUUUCUAACGAGACUAAUCUCGCUUGAAUCAGAGUUCUAUAACUCCUAAUAUAGUUAAAAAUCUGAGGAGAGGUCAGACAAUACCAGUUCAAAAACGAGACAAUAACAGUUGGACAGUAACAGUCCAAAUGUUUGUUGAUGAGCAAUUUUGACUGUCUUAAAGGCAGAACUGGGUUCUCCUUCCUUCAGAGAACUUGUAGCCUCAUGUCUUAGCUUUCUAACAAGACUAAUCUCGCUUGAAUCGGAGUUCUAUAACUCCAGAUAUAGUUAAAAAAUUAAGAAGAGGUCAGACAACAACAGUUCAAAAACGAGACAGUAAUAGUUGGAUAGUAACAGUCCAAACGUUUAUUGAUGAGCAAUUUUGACUAUCUUAGACAUAGAACAUGGUUCUCCUUCCUCAGAGAACUUGUAGCCUCAUGUCUUAACUUUCCAACGAGACUAAUCUCGCUUGAAUCGGAGUUCUAUAACUCCAAGUAUUUGUUGUUAAAAUUAAGUUAAUUCAUGUAUGGUAUGUAAUUAGGGAUGCAAAACCAUGAUAAUUUACCCAGAAAAUGUAGUUUGUGAAAGUUAUGUGUGAAGGGAAGGGGGUGACGAAUCUCGACAAACUCGUCUCCUGACUUUCGGUAAGAUUUCGGAUAGGAGGAUGAGGGAAUUAGAACCAGGUUCCUUCAUAGCAAUUGUAGUUUUGGAUGUUAGCUAACUAAGGAAAUUGGUCUUGCUCAUUUUGGAGCUGUAGAACUCCAGUUAUGGGUUAUCAACCAAGACUGGGUCAUGACAGACCCUGUAGGGGCAGUAAGUCUGAUUUGUUGAUGAGCAAGUAUGACUGUCUUAGAGGCUGAAUUGGGUUCUCCUUUCUUCAAAGAACUUGUAGUCCCAUGUCUUAGCUUUCCAAAGACUAAUCUCGCUUGAAUUGGAGUUCUAUAACUCCAAAUAUAGUUAAAAAUCUGAGGAGAGGUCAGACAGUAACAGUUCAAAAACGAGACAGUAACAGUCCAAAUGUUUGUUGAUGAGCAAUUUUGACUGUCUUAGAGGCAGAACUGGGUUCUCUUUUCUUUAGAGAACUUGUAGCCGCAUGUCUUAGCUUUCCAACGAGACCGAUCUUGCUUGAAACAAAGAUCUAUAACUCUAGAUAUAGUUAAAAAUCUGAGGAGAGGUCGGGCAGUAAUAGUUCAAUGUCUAGACAGUGACAGUUCGGGAUUUAAACAGAAACAGUUCAAAUAUAAAGAAAGGAACGAUAAUUGUUGUUGGACAAAGAACAACAAUAUUAAAAUGAAAAAAAUAUUAAGAAAUGACUGAAAGAAAGACUUAUUGGUUGUUGAUAUGGUUAUACAUAUCCUUGAGUGAGGAAAAUUUAUGAGAUAAACCUGUGAUUUGCAGGAGGGACCACAGGCGUGGUGCAACAGUAGCAGCAGGGGAGCACCUAUACUUUCUAGUUAAAUUCUAUGAUUUAAUAUGUUAUUGAUGUGAGAUGUGAAUUACCGAACGUUGGAUAUUAGGAGAAAAGAGGAAAGUUUGCAUAAUGAUGCUGAUAUUUUGGAUAGUAUUCUGAAUGUAUAUGUACUCAAGGUGAACAAUUGUUGUGUGAAUUGCCAAGUGAUGAAAUUAUCAUUGACAAAGGAAUUAUGAGAAGUGUGAUUGGGGCGUGAACUAGCAUAUAUUUAGUAUAUGUUAGGAUCCCGGGUAAGGGGAUCAAGAUGUAUUGAUUGGCAUACAUUUAGUGUAUGUUAGGAUCCCGGGUAAGGGGAUCAAGAUGUAUUGAUUGGCAUACAUUUAGUGUAUGUUAGGAUCCCGGGUAAAAGGAUCGCCGUGUAUUGACUGGCAUACAUUUAGUGUAUGUUAGGAUCCCGGGUAAGGGGAUCACCUUGCAUCGACUCCUACAUGGUGGUGAUGAUAACAGUGAAAUUGGUAUCGGUAAUGUGUUAAGCAAAAAUAAUCAUGGGUGGUCUUAUGAGAUCUUAAAUGGAGGUUGAUAAUGGAAAAGGAAAAAACUUUUAGUAGUUGAAGGAGAAAGAGUUUCCAAUGACAACCAAAAGGGAGAAGUGAAUAAAAUAUGAAUGCAUGUUUGCCUUUUUAUAAUUGUUGGAUAUUUGUAUUGCUUUAUUAUUGUGAUAUUCAUAUUUGAAUAAUAUGUAUUUUGUUUUCAGGACCAUCGCAUGCACGACAGGAGUAGAUUCUAGCUUAGGUUCACUUUUUUAUAAAUUAGAUCCUAGGAAGUAUACCCUUGUAUUUUGGUAAUAUUACUACUUUUAUAUAACUCAAUUUUUGUAAUUGAUGUUUAAACUGAAAUAGAUGAAUUUAAUUAUGUAGUUUGUAUAACCAUGUUCCAUGUAUGCAUGUUUAUAUCUUUAUCCAUCCAUAAUGAUAAUUGUUGUACAAUGUAUAUCAUAAACAUUAUGGUUGAUAUGAAUGAUGAUGUUUGUGGGAUUGGGACCCAGGAUGAUUGGGUUGAAUUGAGUUAGGAGAUGUGGUAUAUUAGAAGUGUAAACAGGUCGUAUGUCGAUAACUUGGGACCUCCUGGUAUAGGGGAGACUCUAUCGAAAUUUCAGUAGACUUUAAUACAAACAUCAUGAAUAGAUAUAGAAAAAAAAUAUUAAUCACUCUGUUUAUCAGUUAACAUGAGAUCGUUGCUUUAUCCCAGAUAUGGGGAUGUUACAAACUUGAUCCUAAUUCCUUCAUCCUCCUACCCGAAAUCCCUCUAAACGUCAAGAGACGAAACUGUCCAGAAUCGUCAACCUUUCCAUUUACACACAACCCAUGAAGUUAUUUAAUUUAGCAACUAAUACUUUUUUUCCUCAAUUCAAGUCUAAGAACUCUAAUCUAUAAUUCAACAUCCGAGCAUCAAUUCAUAAUUGACUUUGAAAUUACUCAUAAAACCAUGUUCAGAACACCUUACCCAGUAUGAAUCAAGGUUUCGAUCUUCAACUCCCUCCUUUUUUUUCUAAUGACAGUCGGCCCUCCCCUCUUCUCUUAUUGUUCAAAUUUUCUUGUUAAUUCCUUGCCCACCAGUGUUUAUUCUACCUAUAACCCUUAAUCUUGAAUGGGUUCUUGAAAUUUUGGUGUUUCUCUCUUGAUUUGUAAAAAUGGAUACAAAAACUCCUUUUCUUUCUUUGCGAUAGUUGCAGAUUUUUGGUGAGAAGAGGAGUAUUUAUGCUCUAUAAUUAUUCUUAUUUGCAUUUAGGCCCUAUUUUCUUUAAGUGUAUUCUUUUUGCCCCAACAUCUUUUUAGUUUAGUUUAUUUUCUUUAAUUUAAUCCAGCCUUGAUUUUUCCAAGGAUUUACAUUCUCCCUUUCUAAUAAAAAUUUCGUCCUUGAAAUUUAAGUUACGUACCCAUGUCGGAGAAUAAGUGCGGAAACUUCUCCUUCAUCUCAAAUUCUCUUACCCAUGUUUCUUCUUCUAUUCGAGAGCUUCUCUACAAUACGCUCACCAAGGGAACUCUCUUAUUCCUCAACAACUUCUCAUCUCGAUCUAAGAUCUUGACGGGCUUAGCUUUCAUGGUUAGAUCCCCUUUAAUCUUCAUAGGAACUUGUGGCAAUACCCAUGAGAGGUCUAUCUUGGCCUUUCACAGCAAUGACACAUGGAACACAUUGUGAAUCUUAUCCAAAUAUACAGGCAAUUCUAAUCAAUAGGCAACUAGCCCGGUUUUUUCCUUAAUCUCAGAAGGGCUAAUAUAUCUCGGGGCUAAUUUUCCUUUUACUCCAAAUCGAAUGAUGUCUUUCCAAGGCGCCACCUUCAAAAAUACCUCAACCCCCACUUGGAAUUCCAAAGGCCUUCUUCGACUAUCUGCGUAACUUUUUUGUCUAUCCUGGGCUUUCUUCAUCCUCUUCGAUUAAUCACCCUCACCUUGUUAGUUGUCAGUUGCACCAUUUCAGGUCCCAAAAGCUUCAUUUCUCCUACUUCCUCCCAACAAAUUGGGGUACGACAUUUCCUCCCAUACAAUGCUUCAUAUGGAGCCAUACCAAUAAUAGUUUGAUGGAUAUUAUUAUAAGUAAACUCCACCAAUGGUAGGAGAUCCUCCCAAUUCCCUCCAAACUCCAGCACACAAGACCUCAGUGGAUCCUCAAGAGUUUGAAUGGUCUUUUCAGAUUGACCAUCCGUCUGAGGAUGAAAUGUCGUGCUCAGAUUCAACUUUGUCCCUAUUGCCCGUUGCAAGCUAGGCCACAAUCUCGAUGUGAACCUUGGAUCCCGAUCCGAUAUAAUUGAAAUUGGCACCCCAUGAAGUCUGAUUACUUCAUCUAUAUAUAAUUUUGCCAGCUUAUCCACUAAAUCAGUCAUCUUCAUAAGCAAAAACAAAGCAGAUUUUGUUAGUCGAUCCACGACCACCCAUAUGGCAUCAUUCCCCUUUUUUCCCCUGGGUAAUCUCGUCAUAAAAUCCAUAAAAAUAUCCUCCCAUUUCCAUUCCGGAAUUGAUAAUGAUUGUAAUUCCCCUACAGGUCUCUAGUGUUCUAUCUUUACUUGUUGACAGAUCCCACAGCUCGACACAAAUUCUACUAGUUCCCUCUUCAUAUUUGGCCACCAGUAGUAUUCCUUUAAAUCCCUAUACAUCUUUGUACUCCCAGGAUGAGUAGCAAAUCGAGAUUCAUGAGCUUCUCUUAAUACUUCAUCUUUCAAAGUCUUAUCCUCAAGCAAAUAAAUUCGCCUACCCAUAGCUAUUAGCCCAUCAUAUAACAUUUGAAACGAUGUCUUUAUACCCUUGUUUACCCUCUCCUUGAUCUCUUUUACUUUCCCAUCUGCUUGUUGUGCCAUGAAGAUGUCGUCUCGAAGCACAUAUCGGAUCUUUAACUGAGCUAACAAUGAUCCCUCGGGCCCUACACUUAGCCGCAAGCCCAUUUUCUUCAAUUCCACUAUACUUCCCUGUCCCUUAAUUUCCAUAUCAUUCAUCACUGUUUUUCCCUUCCUACUCAAGGCAUCGGCUACUACAUUAGCCUUACCACGAUGGUAGUCAAUCACACAAUCGUAAUCUUUUAUUAACUCUACCCUUCUUCUCUGUCGCAUGUUCAACUCCUUUUGUGACAUCAAAUACUUCAAACUUUUAUGGUCUGUAAAGAUUUGAACUUGUGUCCCAUACAAAUAAUGUCUCCAUACUCUUAAGGCAAACACCAUCGUUGCAAGUUCUAGGUCAUGAACCGGGUAAUUCACCUCAUGCGACUUUAGUUGUCUUGAUGCAUAAGCAAUAACACACCCGUGUUGCAUCAAUACACAUCCCAGACCCCUUUUUGAGGCAUCACUAUAUACCACUGAUUAGUACUUAAAAGUGCAUUUUUAUCAAGGUUUUAUAUCAUUAUUUUGCACUUGAAGUAUCAAUAACUCCUUAACUAAAGCAUGUUUUAUAAUAACGUAUCUAAUAAUAUAAGAUACCUUUAAUUUAUGGUAAAUGUUCAUCUUAAAUGCAGGCCUAUCACAUAAAUGAAAGAAUUGAUUGAUGAGUUGAAGUACUGAAAUUGAAAGGACAAAGAGAUGGCCAAACUUAGAAAAGAGAUGUUGGUGCAGUCCAAACUGGAACAUUGUUCGGUAAUCGGGCUAUAUCUGGAGCUGUAGAUCUCGGAUUGAGGUCUACUUUAUAUGGAUGGAAAGGUAAGACAUAGUCCUACAACUUUCAUGCGGAGCCCAAGAUUUAAUAAGGCCGUUUUCGAGUCCAAAUUGUAGCAACAAUGAAGAAGCCCGAAUCUGUCCUGCAACCCAGACACUGUUCAGUGUUCAGCCCAUAUCUCGAGUUCUAGAAGUCCAAAUGAUCUCAAAUUUUUAUCCUGGAAAGAUGAGACAAUUCCCUAGAACUUUCAUGAUUUAAGUUUGUUCAAAUUAUGACGUCAUCAAUGACGUUUUUGGCAGACAAGAAGAUAAGAAUUGUCACCAAGUCAAGAUGUGGCCACCCACUCAUCAAUUUGUCAACAAAUCAAUAGUUCCGAAUUUUGGCCUAUAAAAGGAGGCAUUUGCCAUGUAUUUAGGCAUCUUGGUUUACAGAUCAAGAUCAUGCUUUUGCUCUCUCUUUAUAUUUUGUAAUGCUUAAGUUUUGCUUAUAUUAAUUUCUUGCUUAUGCUUUUCAUUUCCUUUCCUUGUUUCUUUAUGUUUCUUUCUUUCAUUAUGUUUAACUAAGUUAAUUAUGUCAAGGUGAAAAGGGUACACUAAUGGUGUAAGAAUAAGUAUAAUAUAAACUUAACAUGGACCUUAAUGUUGGAUACUAACAUGCUUUAUAUUUGUUAUCUUGUUCACUUUUAAUACUUUGCUUGUUAAAUGGUUAAUCUAGAUUUAUGUUGUAUAACACCUGGUACAACAAAUACUUGGCACUUUCAUAGCCCAUACUGUAUGGUAUAACCGACACCUGAGCUAUGAAAGGAACUUGAUUUGUUGUUAACAUAAGUUAUAAUCAUGAAUGCCUGACAACAUUUACAAGUAUUAGCAUUAUUCGAAUAAGAUAACUAAUGUAAUCAUGUUAACAAUUUAUAAUCUGAUUGGAACCUCCUUUGUGUGUGGUUUCCAAUUGAAUAAAAAGAGUUUAUACUAUACUUGUUUGAAAUACCAUUAGUGGAUCCUCUAACCUUGACAUUUGUUGUUAUCAUUGUUUAAUCCUUACCUUAAUCUUCCAUCUCAAAGUCCUCAUCAACUUCUUCCUCUUCUUCUUCACUAUUAUUAUUAUUGUUGUUGUUGUUGUUGUUGUAUUAUUGUUAUCUAUAAUUUAUACAAUUAACCUCCCUGUGGUUCGACCCCGGUCUUGCCGGGUUAUUUAUUACUUCGACACUCCUGCACUUGGGAGAAGACAUCAAUCUUUUGGUCGUGUCAAGUUUUUGGCGCCGUUGCCGGGGAGGUAAAUUCUUGUACAAAUUAUAGUAUUUAUUUUAUUUUCUCUUUUUACUUUUCUUGUAUCUAACUUUGUUUAUUUUGUUUUGUUUCUUUUUCUUUUGCUUUCUUCUUUUUAUUCUCUUUUUACACGUGCAUGAGAGUGUGGUCACAUACAUUAAGUGAUAGACUUUGUAUGGUAUCCUCAUCAUUUUCAGAAAAUAUGGCUGAAGAAGAUAACCAAUCACUUCAUAAUGAAAAUAAUGAGAAUAUUCGGGUUAGAACUCUUAGAGACCACAUGAAUCCCACAAGAACAAGUGCACCCUCAUGCAUAGUUUUUCCUCCUGAUGCAUCUCAUUUUAAUUUUAAGACAGGCAUUAUUCAACUUUUACCAUCUUUUCAUGGCUUAGAUUUAGAAAAUCCAUACUUGCAUUUAAGGGAAUUUGAGGAGGUCUGUAACACCUAUAAUGACUCAAAUUGUAGCAUGAACACCAUUAGGUUAAAGCUUUUUCCUUUUUCACUAAAAGAUAAAGCUAAAACAUGGCUACAAAAUUUGAGACCUGGAUCUAUUCGUGCUUGGGAUGAAAUGCAACAACAAUUUUUAAAGAAGUUUUUUCCGUCCCACAGAACAAACUCUUUCAAAAGACAAAUAAUCACUUUCACUCAAAAACCAGGAGAAACAUUUUAUCAAUGUUGGGAUAGGUAUCGAGACUUGCUUAAUACUUGCCCCCAUCAUGGUUUUGAAACAUGGAGAUUAGUUUCACAUUUUUAUGAAGGGUUAACUCCUAGAGAUAGGCAAAUGGUUGAAAUGAUGUGCAAUGGAACUUUUGAGGAUAAAGACCCUAAUGAAGCCAUGGAAUACCUAGACUUGCUAGCUGAAAAUGCACAAAAUUGGGACACUACAGGAACUUAUGAGGCACCAAGUAAAACCCAAUCUCAUACAUCUAGUGGAGGUAUGUACAACCUUAGGGAAGAUCAUGACCUCCAAGCCAAGUUUGCAUCUUUAGCUAGAAAAUUCGAGGCACUUGAAUUAAAAAAGAGUGGUCAACUAAAAUCUGUUCAAGACAUUGCGUGUCAAAUCUGUGAAACCAACGAACAUUCAACCAAUGACUGUCCAACCUUGCCUUCUUUUAAAGAAUGUCUCCAUGAACAAGCCCAUGCAUUAAAUAGUUUUCAAAGGCCCAACCAUAACCCAUACUCGCAAACAUAUAACCCUGGUUGGAGAAAUCACCCAAAUUUCAAUUGGAAGAGUGAUAACAAUAAUGCACAAACUUCACAGCCACCGUUUCAAGCACACCAUAAUUUCCAAAAUUCUCAUGGAUAUGCACCUCCUUAUGCUCCACCUCCUAGAAGAAAUCUUGAGGAAACAUUGCAUGCAUUCAUGGAAAAGCAAGAGACAAUCAACACUCAACUUGCUCAAAGCAUGACAGAUUUUAAAGAUACUCUUGCAAAAUUGACAUCUGCUCUCAGUUUCCAAGAGAAAGGUAAGUUUCCAUCUCAACCACAACAAAAUCCCAAGGGGCAGUACCAUGCAAAUGCAAGUAGUUCGGGAAGCCAACAUAUGGAUCACGUAAAAUCAGUCAUCACUCUUCGCAGUGGUAAGGUUAUUGAAAAACCCAUUCUUGAACCUUGUGAGAAUGAUGAUGAGUCAAUCUCUAAGGGUAAGGAAGGGGUUGAAUCUGAACAUUGCAAAGAAAAGACUGAUUCCCCGCCAGCACUUCCAUUUCCUCAUGCCAUGGCCAAACAAAGGAAAGUCAAUCACAACUCUGAAAUCCUUGAAACUUUCAAACAGGUAAGGAUCAAUAUACCUUUGUUGGAUGCUAUUAAACAGGUUCCUUCUUACGCUAAAUUUUUGAAAGAUCUGUGCACUGUGAAGAGAAAAUUGAAUGUGAAAAAGAAAGCCUUCUUAGCCGAACAAGUAAGUGCUAUUCUUCAAAACAAUAAUGCUUUGAAAUAUAAAGACCCUGGUUGUCCUACAAUUUCUUGCUUUAUUGGAGAACAUAAAAUUGAAAGAGCUUUACUUGAUCUUGGAGCUAGUGUGAAUUUACUUCCAUAUUCAGUUUUUCAAAGUCUCAAUCUAGGUGAGUUAAAACCAACUUCUGUGACUCUUUUACUUGCCGAUAGAUCUGUAAAAGUGCCUAGAGGAAUAAUUGAAGAUGUGUUAGUACAAGUCGAUAAAUUCAUUUACCCUGUGGAUUUUAUUGUCUUGGAUACACAACCUGCUGAAGCAUGUAAUUCAUUUCCUGUUAUUUUAGGACGUCCGUUUCUUGCAACUUCUAAUGCAUUGAUUAAUUGUAGGAAUGGACUAAUGAAGCUAUCUUUUGGAAACAUGACAUUGGAGAUGAAUAUUUUCAACAUUUGCAAACAACCUGGAGAUGAUAAUGAUUUACAAGAAGUAGAUUCUAUUGAAGAAUUAGUUUAUGAUCAACUUGAAUCUACUUUGAGUAAAAUUGAGUUGGAUGAAUUUGAAGAUUUGCAAAUGAUUUAUUCUCAGGAAGAAAUCACGGAUGAAAAAGACACUGAAAAUGUUGAUGCGGAUCAUUUGUCAAGAUUGACAAUAGAUUCGACAUCUGACAUCACACCAAUUGAUGAUUACUUUCCUGAAAAAUCCUUACUUUCUCUUAGUUCAAUGCCUUGGUUUGCUAAAAAUAUCAAUUUUCUUGCUACAGGAGAUUUGCCAACUCACUGGAGUACCGAAGACAAAGGAAAGUUUUUGAACGAAAUGAAGAACUUUUAUCGGGAUGACCCUUACUUAUUCAAAAAUUGUCCUGAUCAAAUAUUUCAAAGAUGCAUUCCCGACAAUGAGGUAAGUAGUGUCAUUAAAUUUUGUCAUUCUGAGGCAUGUGGGACUCAUUUCUCGUCAAAAAAGACGACUGCAAAAAUCUUACAAUGUGGAUUUUAUUGGCCCACCAUGUUCAAAGACACACAUGUGUUCUGCAAAGGUUGUGAAAAUUGUCAAAAGUCAGGAUUUAUUUCAAAACAUAAGGAAUCUUUAGAUAAUCUUCUAUUGACUUUUGAGACAUAUCCUGGUGGAGAUGUGCACCGUGCAUUUCAGGACUUAUGACACAAUUCCAUAAAGAACAUGAUCGACUUAGUCUUGGGAAUCUGACUAUAAAAGACCCUGUUUGCCAGUUUUUAAGAAAACUGGAUGGGAAGCCUAUCCCCGACCCAUAGAGGGCGUUUAAGCCGUUCUUGGACGUAAAACCAAGGGAAGAUGUGAGCCACAAUCACAACUACAAUUUGAGUCUUAGUUUGUAAAAAUUUAUGUUUUCUUUGUUUUAUUAAUAGCAUAUUAUUUUGUUUUGUUAUUUCUUAUGUUUGUUUAAGUGUGUUUCAGGUUUGUCAGUGUUCUUUGUUUCAGGUGAUGUCUUCUAUACUCUAUCUUUCUACCUUAUGACAUUGAGGACAAUGUCUCGUUUUGGUUGGGGGGAGAGGGUAGUAGUUGACAUUUAAAAAAAAAAAAAAAAAAAAAAACCUAACCAACUAACUAUUUUUGUUUUUGAAAUAAUUUGGCAAAACUGUUAUUAUUAGGAUGGCAGAGUAAGGAGGAAUUUUAGUAACUCUUGAGACGCAUCUUAGUAAACAUUUUCCAAUGGUCAUUUGCAAUAUUCAUAACAAGGCCUAUUAGAAUACUUCUUGAAAUAUUCAGGUUUACAAACUCUCGCAUUGUUAUCACUUGAUUCUGCUCAUAUACUCAUUUAACAAGUAUUCUUAAACCUUCAUUUUCACACACACACUUUAACAUAUGAUUGUGGGUUGCACAUUGGAUUAUUACAUUAUUUAUGUUCUUUUGUUAAAGGUAACAACUAAGGGAUAGGGAUAGUCUAUAAUUUAAAUAAAUAAAAAAAAAACAACAACAAAAAUUGAUGAUAAUAAAAGCGUAGAUAAGUUUGGUUUCGUAGCCUCCCUAACCUAAGCAAUUAAGCCCGAAGGGGUGUUUUAACACCUAAUACCCUAAAGUCAACUGACUUGGGAGCUAUUGGCCCAAAGCUUGUUACAUGGGUUAAGGAGAAAAGCUUAAGGGAAUCAAACAUUGCACUAUCUACGUAUCAGUAUCUGCAACCCGAGUUACUAAGCUCGUAGGGGUGUCUCAACACCUAAUGCCCUAAGACCAACUGGUCUGGGAGUCAUUAGCCGAAAGCUCGUUACAUGGGUUAAAGAUGCAUUGUGUUUUAAGUAUAUGUAUAUAUUCAUUGAAAAAAAAAAUACCAAAAAAAAAAAAAAGAAGAUAAUAAUCCCAACCCAAGGAAGUUAACCUUAAACAUUAGAACAGAAUAUUGUUUUCUUCCAAUAAAAGCCCCAUCAUCUAUGUUUUCAUACAUUGAGCACAUAAAAAGGAAGGUUUAAUAAUAUUUUGUUUAAGAGGUAUUGAGCAGAUAUAUAAAAUUUAAUGAGAGUUUGUUUAUCUGAAUAGAUUAAUGGAAGUUGAAUGAUGAAUGCCUUGCUUUGUGAAAUUUGCAAAUAGUUUUUCUAUUUUAACGCUUUGAUUACUAGGGACUAGUAAUAAGCUGGUUGGGGGGUGUGAUUAGUACUUAAAAGUGCAUUUUUAUCAAGGUUUUAUAUCAUUAUUUUGCACUUGAAGUAUCAAUAACUCCUUAACUAAAGCAUGUUUUAUAAUAACGUAUCUAAUAAUAUAAGAUACCUUUAAUUUAUGGUAAAUGUUCAUCUUAAAUGCAGGCCUAUCACAUAAAUGAAAGAAUUGAUUGAUGAGUUGAAGUACUGAAAUUGAAAGGACAAAGAGAUGGCCAAACUUAGAAAAGAGAUGUUGGUGCAGUCCAAACUGGAACAUUGUUCGGUAAUCGGGCUAUAUCUGGAGCUGUAGAUCUCGGAUUGAGGUCUACUUUAUAUGGAUGGAAAGGUAAGACAUAGUCCUACAACUUUCAUGCGGAGCCCAAGAUUUAAUAAGGCCGUUUUCGAGUCCAAAUUGUAGCAACAAUGAAGAAGCCCGAAUCUGUCCUGCAACCCAGACACUGUUCAGUGUUCAGCCCAUAUCUCGAGUUCUAGAAGUCCAAAUGAUCUCAAAUUUUUAUCCUGGAAAGAUGAGACAAUUCCCUAGAACUUUCAUGAUUUAAGUUUGUUCAAAUUAUGACGUCAUCAAUGACGUUUUUGGCAGACAAGAAGAUAAGAAUUGUCACCAAGUCAAGAUGUGGCCACCCACUCAUCAAUUUGUCAACAAAUCAAUAGUUCCGAAUUUUGGCCUAUAAAAGGAGGCAUUUGCCAUGUAUUUAGGCAUCUUGGUUUACAGAUCAAGAUCAUGCUUUUGCUCUCUCUUUAUAUUUUGUAAUGCUUAAGUUUUGCUUAUAUUAAUUUCUUGCUUAUGCUUUUCAUUUCCUUUCCUUGUUUCUUUAUGUUUCUUUCUUUCAUUAUGUUUAACUAAGUUAAUUAUGUCAAGGUGAAAAGGGUACACUAAUGGUGUAAGAAUAAGUAUAAUAUAAACUUAACAUGGACCUUAAUGUUGGAUACUAACAUGCUUUAUAUUUGUUAUCUUGUUCACUUUUAAUACUUUGCUUGUUAAAUGGUUAAUCUAGAUUUAUGUUGUAUAACACCUGGUACAACAAAUACUUGGCACUUUCAUAGCCCAUACUGUAUGGUAUAACCGACACCUGAGCUAUGAAAGGAACUUGAUUUGUUGUUAACAUAAGUUAUAAUCAUGAAUGCCUGACAACAUUUACAAGUAUUAGCAUUAUUCGAAUAAGAUAACUAAUGUAAUCAUGUUAACAAUUUAUAAUCUGAUUGGAACCUCCUUUGUGUGUGGUUUCCAAUUGAAUAAAAAGAGUUUAUACUAUACUUGUUUGAAAUACCAUUAGUGGAUCCUCUAACCUUGACAUUUGUUGUUAUCAUUGUUUAAUCCUUACCUUAAUCUUCCAUCUCAAAGUCCUCAUCAACUUCUUCCUCUUCUUCUUCACUAUUAUUAUUAUUGUUGUUGUUGUUGUUGUUGUAUUAUUGUUAUCUAUAAUUUAUACAAUUAACCUCCCUGUGGUUCGACCCCGGUCUUGCCGGGUUAUUUAUUACUUCGACACUCCUGCACUUGGGAGAAGACAUCAAUCUUUUGGUCGUGUCAACCACAAACCCUUGUGUCCCCGAUGGAAGGGCCAGCACAGGAGCAGAAGUGAGCCUCUCCUUUAGUUCUCGAAAGCUCGCUUCACACUCUUCCGACCAAACAAACCUGACUUCCUUGCGGGUCAGCUUAGAGUGUGAUGCUAGGGUGGAGAACCCCUCAAUAAAUCUCCGGUAAUAUCCAACAAAACCCAAGAAACUCUGGAUUUCUGUCACAUUAGUAGGCCUUUCCCAUUUUAACACGGCCUCAACCUUUCUUGGAUCCACAAAUAUUCCUUCUGCGGAUAUUACAUGGCCCAAAAAUACUACUUCCUUGAGCCAAAACUCACACUUAUCCAGAUUUGCAUAUAAUUGAUUCUCCUUUAAAGUCUGUAGCACAACCCUUAGAUGUUGUUCAUGCUCCAAGUGAGAGUUUGAAUACACCAAGAUAUCUUCAAUAAAUACAACCAUAUAUUGGUUCAGGUAAGGCCGAAACACCUGAUUCAUCAAGUCCAUAAACAUGGCCAGAGCAUUGGUUAACCCGAAAGGCAUCACCAAAAACUCGUAAUGCCCAUAACGGGUUCGGAAUGCAGUCUUUUGUAUGUCUUAUUCCUUAAUUCUCAACUAGUGGUAUCCAGAUCUCAAAUCUAUCUUAAAGAAAACCUUAGCACCCUUCAACUGAUCAAACAAGUCAUCUAUUCGUGGGAGUGGGUACCUGUUCUUCACCGUCACUUUAUUCAAUUGACGAUAAUCAAUGUACAAAUGAAGGGUGCCAUCCUUCUUCUUUACAAACAAUACUGGAGCUCCCCAAGGCAAGUUACUAGGCCAGAUGAAGCCUUUAUCUAACAAUUCCUGAAGCUGGACCUUCAGUUCCGCCAAUUCCAUAGGUGUCAUCCUAUAAGGAGAUUGGGUUAUAGGAGAAACUCUUGGAAUAGUUUCUAUGGAAACUUCAAUUUCUCUAACUGGAGGUAAUCCAGGCAACUUUUCUAGGAAUACAUCUCGAAACUCCCUCACAACAGGAAUACUAGCCAAAUCUAUGCUACCCUUUUUCAACUCUUUUACAUGGGCUAACCAAGCAGAACAACCCUUCCUUAGUAAUUUUCUAGCCACCAAACUGAGAUUGCACAACUUGGAAUUACUUUUCUUUCCCCUUUAAACACUACUCUCUUAUCACAUAUUCCUUGGAUUGUCAUCGUCUUGGUGAAACAAUCCACUUGUGCCUUAUGUUUACUUAGUCAAUCCAUGCCCAGAAUCAAGUCAAAAUCAUAUAGCUCUAACGGUAUAAGAUAUACCCUCAACUCUAACCCUCUAAUAUAUAGUUUUACCCCUCUAUAAAUAUCAUCAAUAUGUAUAUUCUCUCCUAGAAGUGUACUAAUUGUCACUCCUACACCCAAGUUACUAGAUAACACAUGCAAGUUAUUCACAAUUCUAUAAGAUACAAAGGAAUGACUAGCUCCAGGAUCAAUUAAAGCAUAAACUUGCAUUGUAUCUAACUGUAAAGUACCUGCCACCACAUCAGGUACAGCUCCCAUAUACUCGAAGGUCAUGUGAUAUACCCGACCCUGAGUCCUCCCCUUCUGAUUUCUGGGCCUCCCACGAGUAGCACUCGUCCCUGACUGGGUAAGCCUGAUAGGACGAUCGACUGUCACUGAUUGUUGCUGGCUUUGAACCUCAAUCCUCUGACCAUGGGCUCCCUCAGUAGUUCUACGAGGACAAUCCUUCUUCCUGUGACUCGUGUCCCCAUAAUAGUAACAGCCUCUGCCUACAUGCGAGCACUCUCUUCAUCGAUGCCCCUCUCCUUUACAAAUAUAACAUCUCCCUGGCAUCACAGAGCAAUCUCUAGGGUGUCGCUGCUCACACCUCUGACAAAAUGGAUAUACUAGUCCCUCUGCUCUGUAGACCCUCCAGCAGUUUUGACUCCUUGUCUAGCCUGUCCUCCCUAAGCUCCUCUUCCACUGACCUGUCUAGAUCUUCCUAAGCUCCCUCCUGAGGUUAAACUCCCACCUCUUCUCUAGAACUGUCCUGAUGAUUGCUCGCUCUUCCCUUUCUUUGGGAGAGGAGGUCUCCCACUCAAAAACUCAAAAUCUCUCCUCUUAGCUCCAAUUGCCUGACUCUGCUCGACCACUGGCUUCGGGGUAUUGACACGACCAAAUAGUUGAUGUCUUCUUCCAAGUGUAGGAGUGUCGAAGUAAUAAAUAACCCGACAAGAUCAAGGUCGAACCACAGGGAGGUUAACUGUAUAAAUUACAAAUAAAGAAAUAGAUAAUAAUAGAAAAUGAGUUGAAGAGAGCUUUGAGAUGUGAUAUUGAUGUGAGGAUUAAACAAGGAUAAAAUAAUUAUCAAGGUUAGAGGAUCCACUAAUGGUAUUUCAAACAAGUAUAGUAUAAACUCUUUUUAUUACUCAACUGGAAACCACACACAAAGGAGAUUCCAAUCGGAUUAUAAAUUGUUAACAUGAUUACAUUAGUUAUCUUAUUCGAAAAAUGCUAAUACUUAUAAAUGUUGUCAGGUAUUCAUGAUUAUAACUUAUGUUAACAACAAAUCAAGUUCCUUUCAUAGCACAGGUGUCGGUUAUACCAUACGGUUGGGCUAUGAAAGUGCCAAGUAUUUGUUGUACCAAGGGUUAUACAACAUAAAUCUAGAUUAACCAUUUAACAAGCAAAGUAUUAAAAGUGAACAAGAUAACAAAUACAAAACAUGUUAGUAUCAAACAUUAAAGUCCAUGUUGAGUUUAUAUUAUACUUAUUCUUACACCAUUAGUGUACCCUUUUCACCUUGACAUGAUAAACUUAGCUAAACAUAAUAAAGAAGAGAAACAUAAAUAAAUAAGAGGAGAACUUGAUUAUAUAAGUAUAGUAAAGGAAAUGAAAGGUAUAAACAAGAUAUUAAUGAAAGCAAAACUUAAGCAUUACAAAAAUAUAAAGAAAGAGAGCAAGAACAUGAUCUUGAUCUGAAAAUCAAGAUGCCUCAAUGCAUGGCAAAUGCCUACUUUUAUAGGCCAAAAUUUGGAACUAUUGAUUUGAUGACUACUUGUUGAGUGGGUGGCCACAUCUUGACUUGGUGACAAUCCUUAUCUUCUUGUCUGAACAAAAUGUCAUUCCUAACGUCAGAAUUUGAACAGAUUGUCUUCAUGAAAGUUCUAGAAAAUUAUCUUAGAUUUCCAAUCAAAAAAGAAUCGGUGCAUUUGGACUUCUAGAACUUGAGAUAUGGGUUGAACACUGAACAGUGUUUGGGCUGCAGAACAGAUUCCGACUUCUCCAUUGUUGCUACAAUUUGAACUUGAAAACGGCCUUUUUGAAUCUUGGACUCCUCAUGAAAGUUUUAGGCCUAGGUCUUAGGUUUCUAUUCAUAUAAACCAAACUAAAAUCCAAGAUCUACAGCUCUAGAUAUGACCCAAUGACUGAACAGUGUUCCAGUUUGGACUAAACCAGCAUCUCUUUUCUAAGCUUAGCCCUCUCUUUGUCUUCUCAAUUUCAGUAGUUAAACUCAUCAAUAAAUCCUUUCAUUUAUGUGAUAGGCCUACAUUUAAGAUAAACAUUUGCCAUAAAUUAAAGGUAUCUUAUAGUAUCAGACUUGUUAUUAUAAAACAUGCUUUAGUUAAGGAGUUAUUGAUACUUCAAGUGCAAAAUGAUGAUAUAAGACCUUGAUAAAAAUGCACUUUUAAGUACUAAUCAGGUAUCCCUUAUUACCCUCUCCAUACCCUGAGCAGCCCGUACCAAUUCCCGCACAGACUGAAACUGUAUGGCUAUCAAUAUCAUCCUCAAUUCCUGCCUCAGUCCAUCACGAAACCUCUCCACCCUGUAGCACUCUGUGGGAUGGUAAGUGGAGGCAAAAGCUGUUAAAUCCUGAAAUCUCCUCUCAUACUCCAGAACUGUCAAAUCUCCCUGCCUCAAAUCCAAAAACUAUUGUUCUUUCUCCCUCCUAUGCUCCCAAGAAUAGUACCUCUCCUCAAACUCUUCAAGAAAGUCCCUUCAUCUCAAUACCUCCCUUGAUCUCCUCUCUCUAAUGGUCUCCCACCAAGAGUGGGCACUUUCAACCAAUAGCUGAGUCACGCAAUCCACCCAUAGCUCCUCUAGCACCUGCAUCUGAUUUAUAACUCUUUCCGCUUUCCUCAGCCAAUUCCCAGCAACCUCAGCAUCCUCUUCGCCAUGGUAAGUCAUACAACCCAUCUCUUUCAUACCCUUCACCCAUUGCACUAUGGUGACUACUCCCCCUGAUCUAAGAGUUGUACUGGAGGCUCCCGCUACCAUUCCUAUUGCUACAGCUCUCACUAUAUAUUCCAUAAAAGCAGGAUCCAAAAAUGGGUUUGAUCCAGCUACCGAUGCCACUGGUGGGGGCAUAUUAUCUCCCCCCUGUCUAUCUGAUACCUCGGGCAUUGAUACAUCUAUCUGACGGGACAACGAAUCAUCUCGAAGUCUCACUGACUCGCCCCUUUCCGAGUACACUGAUGUUGCAGGUAUAUGAGAGGAGGUGUCUGCCAGGGGAUCCCAGUAUGGAUCACUUUCAUUACGAAAACUCUGAUCACUUCCCCGAACUGGGGAUGGAUCAGUCCUGGCUCCUUGCCUUGUUCUCACCAUCUUGAAACACAUUUCAAAAUCAUAUAAUGAUUCCUAUCCCCGGAAUAGCAACUGAGCUCUGAUACCAAAAAUGUAACAUCCCCCGUUCCGGGAUAAAAACAACAAUCUCAUGUCAACCGAAAAAAAGAGCAAUUAAUUUUUUUUUCUAUAUAUAUGCAUGGUCUUCGUAUUAAAAACUACCGAAAUUUCGACGGAGUCUCCCCUACACCGAAAGGCCCCAAGUUAUCGAUAUGUAACCUGUUUACACUUCUAAUAACUCGCAUCUCCUAACUCAAACCCGACCCAAUCAUCCUGGGUUUCAAGCCCACAAAUAUUAUCACACCUAUCAACCACAAUAUUUAUAAUAUACAUUAUAUAACAAAAUAUCAUUAUGGAUGGAUAAAGAUAUAAAUACACAUACAUGAAAUAUGGUUAUAUGAACUACAUAGUUAAGUUCAUUUAAUCAAGUUUAAACAUUAAUUAUACAAAUUAAGUUAUACAAACAUUUUCAAGUUUACAAAAUACAAGGGUAUACUCCCUAGAACCUAGAUUACAAGAAGGGAACAUAAGCUAGGAUUUACUCUUGUCGUGCAUCCGAUGGUCCUGAAACAAAAUACAUAUUAUUGAAACAUGAAUAUCACAAUCAAUAUAACAACACGAAUAUCUAACAAUUUAAAAAGGGUAACAUGCAUUCAUAUUUUGUUCACUCCUCCCUUCUAGUUUUCAUUAGAAUCUCUUCCUUGUUCAACUAUUAAUAACCGUUCCCUCUCCCAUUAUCAACCUCCGAUGCAGAUUUUAUAAGAUCAAUCAUGAUUAUUUCUGCUUAACGCAUUACCGAUACCAAUUUCACUAGUAUCAUCAUCAUCACCCCGUAGGAGUCGAUGCAAGAUGAUCCCUUUACACUAAAUGUAUGAUAGCCAAUACAUGGUGAUCCCCUUACCCGGGAUCCUAUCAUACACUAAAUGUAUGCUAGCCAGUACAUGUUUGAUCCCCUUAUCCGGGAUCCUAACAUACGCUAAAUGAAUGCUAGUCCAAACAUGGCGAUCCCCUUACCCGAGAUCCUAACAUACACUAAAUGUAUGCUAGUUCACGCCCCAAAUCACAUUUCUCAUAUUUCCUUUGUCAACGAUAAUUUCAUCACUUGGCAAUUCAUACAGCAACCUUUCACCUUGAAUACACAUAUAUUCAGUAAUUCACAUUUCACAUCGGUAAUAUAUUCAAUCAUGGAAUUUAACUAGAAAGUAUAAGUGCGAUUCACCUACCUGCAAUAGAAUCUCUACUUGUGCUCCCCUGCUGCUACUGUUGCACCAUGCUUGUGGUCCCUCCUGCAAAUCACAAGUUUAUCUCAUAAAUUUUCCUCAAUCCCUUCUUUUCUUUCUAAUGACAAUCGACACUCCCUUCUUCUCUUCUUGUUCAAAUUUUCUUGUUAAUUCCUUGCCCACCAGUGUUUAUUCUACCUAUAACCCUUAAUCUUGGAUGGGUUCUUGAAAUUUUGGUGUUUCUCUCUUGAUUUGUAAAAAUGGAUACAAAAACUCCUUCUUUUCUUUCUUUGCGAUAGUUGCAGAUUUUUGGUGAGAAUAGGAGUAUUUAUGCUCUAUAAUUAUUCUUAUUUGCAUUUAGGCCUCAUUUUCUUUAAGCGUAUUCUUUUUGCCCCGACAUCUUUUUAGUUUAGUUUAUUUUCUUUAAUUUAAUCCAGCCUUGAUUUUCCCCGGGAUUUACAGUACAGGUGGAGGAGGGUCAACUUGUGGACAGUCAAAUGUUAAGGGUAAUUAUGUUGGAGGAGUUUCAGAGUAUAACACCAUUACUUAUCCUCUCUAUGUCAAAUGUGAGCAACGACAUCCUGGAGAUUGCUCUGCAUCAUUAAAGCGAUGCUACAUUUAUAGGCAAGAUGGGUAUAGAUGGCGGGACUACCCCUAUUUAGGUCAGGUAUGGUACUAUUACAGUGAGUAGGGACACUUUAAGAAGGACUCUCUUAGGAGAACUGAGUAUGUUUAGGGAAAGAGAUAGCAAACACAAAAUUAUCAGCAGUCAAUCAUUGUGGAUAGACCUACCAGACUAAUGCAAUCUGGGACUAGUGGAAAUCGAGGUUGACCUCGAGGACAAGGGGAGAGGACCCAGAGCAUACUGUUUCACAUGACCUAGGAGGAUGUAUGGGCUUCCAUAGAUGUAGUAGCAUAUACUUUAUUAUUAGAAAAUCAGUAUGUGCAUGUUUUGAUAGAUCCAUGUGCUACAUAUUCUUUUUAUGGCAAGAAAAAUUGAAAAUAAACUAAAAAAGCAACUAAGUUAGAAAAGGGAUUUUUGAUUAGCACACCAUUAAGGGAUGCAGUGUAUGUAGAACAUUUCUGUAAAGAAGUUAAAAUUUCUAUUGAGAGAUAUUAUAUGGAAGUAAAUGUGAUGUCGAUUGAAUUACAUGAUUUUGACUUAAUACUAGGAAUGGAUUGGUUAAGUAACCAUAAAGCACAAAUAUAUUGCUUUUCAAAAACAAUGACUCUACAGGGAUCAGAUGGGAAAAUCAUAACUUUUAGGGGUGAGAGAAAUGUCAUGCCAAAUUGUGUGAUUUCAGUCAUGACAGUUAGUAAGCUUAUGAGAAAACGGUGUAUGGCUUAUUUAGCUUACAUAAUAGAUUCUGAAAAAAAAAAUGAGGUAGAGUUUAAUAAUAUUCCCAUCAUGAGAGAGUUUUCGGAUGUGUUUCCAGAAUAAUUGUCAGGGCUACACUUGGAAAGGGAAGUGGAAGUCUCAAUUGAUAUAUUGUUAGGUAUCUCUCCUACAGCUUGGGCACCAGCAGAAUUGGUUGAGUUGAAAGUUCAAUUGCAAAAAUUACUACAAAGAGGGUUCAUACACCCGAGUAGUUUACCUUGGGGAGCUCUAGUCCUAUUUUUUUAUUUUUUAUUUUAAAAAAAAAAAGAUGGGACAUUUAGGCUCUGCAUGGACUAUAGAUAGUUGAAUAGGGUAACAAUGAAGAAAAAGUAUCCACUUCCAUAGAUAGAUGACUUGUUUAACCAGUUAAAAGGGCCAGGGUGUUCUCAAAAAUAGAUCUAAGAUCGGGGUACUACCAGUUAAGGAUCAUGGAGUAGGAUGUACCAAAAACUGCCUUUAAGACUCGUUAUGGUCAUUAUGAGUUCCUGGUAAUGUCCUUUAGAUUGACAAAUGCACCAACAGUGUUUAUGGACUUGAUAAAUUGGGUCUUCUAACCUUACUUGAAUAAGUUUAUGGAGGUGUUUAUAGAUGGAAUUUUAGUCUAUUCUAGCUCCUAUCUAAAGCAUGAACAACACUUGAGACAGGUGUUGCAGACCUUUAGAGAUCACUAGUUGUAUGUCAAAUUUAGUAAAUGUGAAUUUUGGAUGAAAGAGGUGGUUUUUCUAGGGCAUGUUAUAUUUGCAAAAGGAAUAUUUGUAAACCCAGUGAAGGUUAAAGCGUACCUGAAAUGGAAAAAGCCUACAAAUGUAAUAAAAAUAUGUAGUUUCCUAGGAUUUGUAGGGUAUUAAAUUUUAUUAAGGGUUUUUUUUACUAUAGUCAAUUCCAUUGACUUGGUUGAUUAGAAAAGAGACAAAAUACGAGUGGUCAAGGGAGUGUAAAGAAAGUUUUCAGGAAUUGGGCCUAACGGUUCAUUGUUGGCUCAAUUAAGAGUAUGGUCUGUGUUACGGGACAAAGUUUUGGAGGUGCAACAAAGACACACUAAAGUGACAAAAAGUGAGAGAUAGGGGUGAUGAUUUUCGGUUCGGUUCGGUUCGGUUUUUACCUAUAAAAAACAACCAAACUAGUUUUUUUAAAAAAAAACCAAAACCGAACUGAAACCAGGUCAAACCAACCGGUUUCGGUCCGGUUCUAUUCUUAAUUUAAAAAAACUGAGAGACCCUAUAUGCUUUUUUUUUUCCUUCCUAAUAUUUUUUUUUCUGUUUUAUUUUAGUGCACAUGACUCCUGCUAAGUGACCAUCUCCCUUAAACCCAUCGAGAGCCGCCUCUUUUGCAUAAUAAUGAACUGGAAAAGCAAGUUGCUGAUUCAAAAUGGCUUGACUCCAUGCAACUACAUAAACCCAAAAAUCACAAAAUCAUUAUUAAUGAAUACAAAAUCCCAGUAAUCGAACGAAGAACCCCCACACCUCUCUUUAUAAAAAUUGAUAACAAUUCCAAAAUUAUAUCCCUAAAGAAACCCACAUGAUAUUUGGAAUUUCCCAUAAAAAUAAUCCCAACCAACAUAUAAUUCCAUUUUCAUCAGAAAAAUAAUUAUAGGAAAAGAAAAGGCAUCACAUUGACCCAAAGAAAUCCCUAAUAUUUCUUCCUGUCCAUUAAAGCAAAAAAAUAAUGCAAAAAAAUCAAAGUAAAUGGAUUCAGAAUUUGAUUAACUUUGUUCGAUAACAUGUCGGACAUCAAAAAGGAAUCAAAAUCCAGCGUCAAGAAAAGAAUGGAUGAUUGGAAAGGAGGUAAAUGAUCUGGAAUAGAGAGAAGAAAAGCAAAACCUGUUUGGAUCUGGAUAAGAGGCGAUAACUGAAAGCCAUGAUUUCUUCUUCUUCUUCUUAUUCUUCUUCUUCCUUCUUUUUUUUCAAAUUGAAGGAGUAGGGUUGUUUGGAUCUUUGUUUUUUUAUGACCGCUGAAAUCCGACCUGAGCGGGCCUAUUUCUCUGUGUUUCUAAGUGAUGAUGGAAACACAAACUGUUUUGGAUCUUUGUGUUUCUAGUUUCUAAGUCUAAGGAGAGGGAGAAGUGGAGAGGAGAGAGGAGGCGGGUGCUCUGGUAGUGGUAGCUAGGGUUAGCAAAUCUUCAUUUUCUAUUUAUAGUACCUUUUUUUUUAACCGGUUCAGUUCGGGUUAAUCGAUUUCUAAAUUACAAAACCAAAACCAAACCGGGUUUUUUUUUCUAAAUAUUCUAAUCGGUUUUUUCUCUCAGUUCGAUUUUUUUGGUUAAUUUUUUUUUGGUUUUCACGGUUUAAUCGGUUUAUCGGUUUUUUUUAUCACCCCUAUAAGGUGAAACUAGGGGUUGAGACACCCUUCUGAGUCUUGGAUGGAUGAUAGGAUGGUAAUGAUAAGUAGAUGAAUAUAUAUGCGUAACGAUAAAGAUUUGAAAGAGAAGGUUCCAGGAGAAGCCCAUUAAUCAAAAAUUUUGGUACAUCCAAGUAGUACUAAAAUGUAAAAGGACCUAAAGGAAUUCUAUUGUUGGCCCAGCAAAGUUGGCAACUUUCGAGACUUUGCUGAAGCAACUCUGAUGUAAAUAUCAUUGGAGAUUGCCUGAACAUGGUAGAGGAGAUACACACCUUUUGUUUGGACUCAUUUUUGCUCAAUUUAGAGGUCUGUAGCUUUACAUUCAUUAGUUUAAAGGUGCCUAUUUGAUCAGCCCAGAAUUUGAAAAUGCAAGAAAAGCUAAUCGGGGAUAAGAUGUUGGAACUUUUAUGCAAGCAUUGGGGUGUAAACGUUCAAUUUCAUGGGCACAGGAUUAUAAAGGGGAUGUUUCUCAGUUGAAUAGUGGUGGUUACUUGUUACCCAUUUUUAGGUCCCCGCACAAAAAGGAGAAAAUACAAAUAGAGAAUAUAUAUACAUAUAUAUAUAUAUGGCCAAAUUUUGGUUAAGGAGGUUCAAAUACAAAGAUUGAAAUUUGACAGUAUAUCGUUGACUAAUGAGAACCCUGUUAACAAGGAAAAUUCAAUUCGAGGAAGAAAAGUCCAAAAUCAGAUGUUUAUGAACUCAAUUAAAUUUUAUUGAAGGUUUAAUUGAAUUCAUAGAGGGUUGGAUUGCAAGAAAAAAUGUUUUUUAAGUCAAUUUAGGCUUUAAUUGGAGGAAAUUAAAGUUUUUGGGUCAAAUUACAAUUUUUAAGAGAUGAUUUGGUCAAAUCAAGGAUUUAAUUACAUAAAUAUUGAAGUUUAAAGGCCAAUUAGGGACUUGAUUGAUGAAAUCCAAAACUAAGAACCAAACUGGAAAAGAUGUGUAAAUAGAGGAACUGAAAUUGAUCGAAUAAAGGGCCAAAUUGAAGAAAUUUGAAGUUUAUUGAUCAAUGGAGGGUCAAAUUACAUAAAUUCAAAACUAGGGAUCAAAGGGAAAAAGGCGUUGAAAUCUGGAGUUUGAGUUGAAGUUUGUUAGGGGUGAAAUUGAACAAAAUUGAAAGUUUUAUGCCAAUCAGGGGUGUAAUUAGAAAGAAAUCACAAAUCAAAGGACUAAAGUGUAAGUGUCCAAAACGGCGCCAUUUUGAAGAUGACUAUUGACCUUCUUCUUCAAAGAGGUCGCCCGAGGGGCCUCCUUCCUAAGGCGUUUGACGCCUCAUUUCUCCCCCAAAUUAUAUGAAGCUUGCACGCAAACAAUCACCUGACCCCUGAUUACACGCCAGUGUAAACCAUUCGACUUGAUCGAGGCUGCAGUAGCGGUGGCAUUGCCCUAAAGUGGCCAACCCGAUCAACCAUGUUUCUACACAAAACUGAUAGUUCAUCAUUGUUACUUUGAACCGAUGGCUGUGAUGUUUUAGGGUCGAACCAAAGGUCAAGAUUUGACACCAGAAGAGACAAAGUGUCCCUCUUUCGCCCCUUAUAAAUAGAUUUGAUUUUCAUGGUCGGAGGAGAGAGAGAAAAAAAGGAAAAAGAAAAGGAGAAUUUUCUUUAGAAAGAGGACGAUUUGAAAAGGAGAGGAAAAACAGAGAAGUGUUAAGAGAUAGAAAACUUGGAGAGAAAGUUUGAAGGAAUGAAAAACAGGGGAGAUUAGAAAAAACAAAAAGGUUUUAGAGAGAGACGAGAGACCAAAAAGAGAGAGAGCUACGGAGAGAGAAAAACAUAUAGAAAAGAACAUAAUGAAAGGAAUAAUAGAAAAAACAAAAAAGAAAGAAAAGUAAAACAGAGAAAGAACGAAAGAAGAAGAGGAAACAGAGGAAGAACAACCUGCAGCGACAAUCAUUCUUCCUCUCUGUUCGAAGUCACCGCCACUCCACAACCAGCAGCACCGCUAACGAUAGUAGCGCCACCGUUAGGUCAACCCCUCUCCACCUUCGUUUUUGUUUUCUUCUUCGACCCCAACCCCCUACCGUCCCUUUUUAUUCAUCGUUUGCGGCGACGCGCUGCAUGCAGCAUGACAACUCGUUCUGCAUGCAGCACAAAUAAUUAGCUUUUGUUUUGGGCCAUGUCUAGGCCCAAUUUAGUUGGGUCGAGUAUCGGCCCAGCCCCUGUUUUUGGUCAAGUAUCGGCCCAGUUUAUGUGGUUCGAGUAUCGGCCCAGCUCCUGUUUUGGGCCGAGUCUCGGCCCAUUGUGUUUGGGUCAAGUCUCAGCCCUGUGUCUGCUUUAGGCCGUGUCUCGGCCCAGUUUAAUUGGGUCGAGUAUCGGCCUAGCUCCUGCUUUGGGCCGAGUCUCUGCCCAACGUUUGUUUGGGGAUUGGUCGGGACCCACUUUUUCAGUGGGUCCGGGCCAGCCCAACUUGCGUUUAGGCGUGUCGGGACCCAAUUCCUUUUAGGUCAGGACGCAACCCAACUUCAUUUGGGGGCCGGUCAAGACCCAGUCUCUCAUGGGUCUAGACUCGGCCCAUCUCCUCUUUGGCCCAGUCUCUGCCCUGAACUUGGGCUCAGGCAAGAUGGACUCAGCCCACAGGAUUGGGCUGAGCUUAAACCCAGUAAAUUGUUAUAUAAUAUUACAUUAUAUAAUUUUAUUAUCAAAAAAUUCAAAAAAAAAAAUCCUUCAAAAAAUUUGUGAUUUUUCUGCGUAUUUUUUAUUAAUAUCGGUUUGUGUUUUUAUACUGUAAAGAUACAAAUCUGGUAUUAAAAUAGUCGGUUUUCUCUGAAAUAUUGCAAAACGUUUAAAACAAAAAAAUGUGUUUUUAUUUUCAUGCAUUACGGUCAAGUUUCUCAAAACUUAUAAAAAACUUUAAUACAACAAAAUUUCAAAAAAUAUGUGUUAGCAUGCAUUUUGUCUUUAAUAACCAGUUUAUUAAAGUCAUUAGAACUAAGUCAAUAUUUCACAUGAUAUUUAAUCUAUACUCGUAUUUCAUCUUAUAAGUGUAUUUAGUUCGUGCCAUUAUUUCAUUUCAUAAUAACCUUAAUUUAUACCACAUCUCAUCCUCUCAAUUACAAUUUUAUGUUCUUGAGCUUCCUUAAGCAUUUAUUUCAUUUUAACCAACUAAUUAUGUUUGUUCAUCUCAACAUCCAUUAUAUCAUUAUUGACUCAUUUCAAUUUUGAUUCCAACAUGUAUUACAUUCAUUAUUACCUAUCAAUACAAAUUUAAAAUUACUUAUUCAUACAAAUAUGCAUCUAAUAUGUUUCUAACUUAUACAUAUAUUUCUUCAAUUCUCACGUACAUUAAGCCUAUUUGGCUCUUCUAAUAUAUUUCUCAUCUUGACUAUUUAUUAGGAUAUUUUAAUGUUUCUUUUCAACUUAAAUAUUUUUCAAGUUCAUUUAUGUCACAUUAUAAUAUUUUUUUCAAACUAAUUUAUGAUGAUUACAGUAAAAUUAAUUAGUUUUUAAUGUUUAAACUAAUAAUUUUGUUUAGAGUUUUUUCAUAGCAAAAAACAUAGCAUUUAUAUUGCAAGAAUCUUCUCAUAAACACAACUCGUAGUGUGGUACAAUUCGCUAUUUAGUUAUAUACUUUAACAUAAAAAUAAUAUUUAAGCACUUCUAACGUGUUUUUUUUUUUUAUAAAACAAAUUAUAAUUCUAAACUCAAAAUAUGAUGCAUAUUUAACUAUAUCUUUUUAAAAUAUUGAUACUUUGACAUAUUAGAUGAUAUUUUUAAAAAAUAUUGAGACGAUGACAUAUUUAAUCAAUUAACGUUAACCUGUCAAAUCUACAAACUAAGUAAUAAGAUUGUGAUAACCCUAAUGAAAGCAUAUCAAAAUAAAUUAUGAAAAUCAAUUAUUAAUCAGCCCAAUAUUGAAAGAUAAAAUUAAAAAAAAACAGAACAAAAAUCUUAUCCGAGUCAACCCGGGUUAACAUGUCAAAUGCACGACUCGGGUCAUGAGAUCGGGAUAACUCCAUAGAAAAAAAAUCAAAAGAAAAAUUACAAACUCCAAUUUUCAACCAACUCAAUAUUGAAGGAUUAAAUUGAAAAAAAAUGAUAAAAAAAAUAAUUUAAGCCAACCUGGGCCAACCUGUUAAAAUGAAGGUCAUAAGAUUGAGAUAACUUUAUUAAAAAAAAAUUAUGAAGCUACAUUUGCUAAUAGAUCCAAUGUUGAAAGUUAAAAUCGAGAAAAAAAAAACUAAAUCCAUGAGACCUAUAUAACUCCAAAAAAAGAAAAUUAAAAAAAAUAUAUUAUGAAAAUCAAUUCUCAAACAACCUUUUAUUGAAUGAUGAAUUUUUUUUAAAAAAAAUUGGGUUGUUAGAUGGUGAAAUUGAAAAAAAAAACCAAUAAAAAAUUACCUCAAAAAAAGAAUCGAGUCAACCCGAAUCAACCUGCCAAACUCGCGAUCUAAUUCAUAAUACCAAGAUAACCUUGUAUAAAAAAAAUAUAAAAAAAUAUGAAGCCUAAUUAAACAAAAUAUUCAUUAAAAAACAGACAAAAAAAAAUAUAAAACCCCACUUCUAACAAAUCUAACAUUGAAAGUUGAAAUCAAAAAAAAAAAAAAUUAAAGACAUGAAACUGGUAUAUAACCAAACAAAAGAAUAAAAUAAAAAUUUAAAGCACAAUUUUCAAACAUAGCCUAAUAUUUAAAUAUAAAAUUGAAGAAAUUAAGAAAGAAAACACAAAACACCAUUCACAUUGUUUUGUUAAUUAAUUGUUAAUACGGGUAGAUAAAACUCUAAUAUCUAAUUUCACUACCUUCAUACUAUAAACAUCUAUCUCCUUAUGUUAAUUUUUAAUCCCUUUCUACUUUUUGGCACUAAACAACAUCAAUAAUUAUUCUUGUGAACUUCAACCCAAAACAAUCAUUCUAGCCAAAAUUCUAUCCCUUACCAAACAUUUACCGUUGUUACAUCCUUGAAAUAGCCCUGCUUUUUUUCUUCUUUUUUCUUUUUUAUCAAGUUGGGGAGAAGAAAAUCUUCUGUUUCAAAUAGACUGCUUCAAUUUUUAUGUAAGAUCACCGAUCCCAGUUGUACAAAUAUAAAGAGUGAUGAAUGAACAGAAAUCAUCCUUUUCUUUAACUGUUUGCAGAUCUAAGCACCUCAUAAUGACAUAUUUGUAGCAAUCUCUCUAUUGUCAGAGUAAUUUUAAACACAACCAUUCUCCUGAUCCGAAGCAGUAAGGGUUUUUAAAUCAAUUACUAACGGAACUGUUAAAGAUAAAUAAACAAAAUAAUUAAAAAGUGGGUAAUUAAACAAAAUGAUCAUAGAGGUGGUGGAAGAACAAACAAAGCCAAGAAAAGAAAUGAAACCUCCUUGGUUUCAUGUUCCAUAGCAGCUAAAUCUCUACGCGCCGUCGCUUUCCACCACCGGCGUCGCGUUCAAAUCCAAAACACCGUUUUCCUCCUCCUCCUCCACCACAGCCGCCACCUCUUCAGCCCCGGAACUCUGGAUCAUAAUCUCCUCCUCGUUAUUUCCACCACCAUCAAUCACUUCCACCACUUUAGCCUCAACUGCAGCCCGCCACCCUUCUCCACUACCCUUUCCAAAGUACUUCGCGGCUUCCUGCAUCCUCCUUAGUAUUGCAAAGAACUCCUCCACCUCCUCCUCAGUCGCCACCGUCACCACCUCCUCCUCAGUCGCCACCGUCACCACCUCCUCCUUUCCCUCCCGUCCCCUCACCUUCUUUUUCCUUCCUUGCUCGCUUUCUUUGUCUCCCCUCUUUCUUUUCUCUUUUCCUCUGUCCAUCUCUCCUUCAGGAACCUUGGAACUUUUAUGCAGACCUUGUAACAUUAUAGAAAGCUCAACCACAGGAUACAAAACUUGUAAAAUAAUAGCGGUGGAGGUAGAUACAUACUUGGAACUGUUUACAUGACAAAACCAUAUGAAUGUAUAUAAUGUGAAUUUAAGAUAUACUAUGUUUUAAGGAGAUAAUAUAUUUAUAUUCAACUAAUAGUAACCAAGAGAAUAAUUAAAUAAUAAAGUUGAAGACAAUUUCAUUCACAUAAAUCCCGUCCAUUUUAAUAAUUUUCCAAGGUCGUUGAAGACUUGUGUGAAACAGCUUACAAUGGUCGUUUUCCCACCGUUGAUGCAGACAAGAUGAGGAGGGGGUGAUGUCAACUUCAAGGGCAGAGAUGACGUCAUGGUCAUGGCGUUUGAUA
rnacentral:lncRNA from 1 species